rnacentral:lncRNA from 1 species
UAAUAUACAGAGCUAAGAGGAAGAGAGUUGCAAUCAUCCGUGUCCAAGCUCGCAUCAACCAUUCGUAUUGUAUAAUUUUCGUAAAAGAUUUAUGGGACAGAGAAUUUCUCUCCUCUCUCAGCCAAAGUGGUGCGAUUAUGGUUCUCACACUCAAAUUCAAAGCCAUAAUGACCACACUGGGAAGGUUAGUUUUUAAAUCGGAAUGAAAAACUGAUAUUCAAAUUCCCACAAAAAGUUGAGCCACAAUCUUGGUUAAUAAGAUGCCGAGCAAAGCAAGCACAGGGAAUAGAAUUACAAAUGAAGCAAAAGCGGCCAUUAGGUGAACAAACAAUGGUAGUAUUGCUUUUAAUUUUGGCAUGCUAAAAUUUUGGGUAGGAUUGAAGAACAACAAUGGGAGCAAGGAAAUAUGUAAGAAAACUUUAUUGUGAGAGGAAGCAUUGUUGAGGACUGAAGACCCCAAUCAAGGCAUAUCAGAUUCCAAGAACAGAGCCAGGAUUACGUCACCAGGGAGACCAAGGGAGCAAGACUUUUCAAUAACAAAAAAAUCUUUUGUUUUAAGAAUAAAACUUCAUAAAUAAAAAAGAAAACUUUUUCUUUUGUAAUUUUUAAAAGGUACAAAUACCAAAACUUGAAUUUAAAAAUAGAUUUAGAGUUAGUUUCAUUUUAAAUGAAGCCAAUUUAGCAUUGAAUUGAUCAUAGAUCAGGUCAGGCUGAAACAAUAUUUAAUUCUAAAAAAAGUUUUAAGUCUUAGGCUUGUUUUCGACCCAACUCUCAAGAGCACAUUUUUUCUUAUUCAAAAAUAAUAAAAUAUUUAAAAUAUUUUUAAUUGAUAUUUUAUAUGUACUUUAUAAUUAAAUUUAAAUUUAAAAAAUAUUCUUUUUAUUAUUUAAAUUAAAUUUGAAUUGAGCCGAUCUAGAUACGAAAAUACUUAUCCAAGCCUAACUCAAAUUGAAUUGAGUUGUAUGGGGUCACAGCUGUAGUUUAGCAGAGUUUGUUUAAAUUGAAGGUGUGUAAAGUUGAAUGAUUAGAUAGGGAUUUAUGAAAAUGAAAUCGAAGGUAAGUUUAAUUUUUGAACUAAUAUAAGAUGUGAUUGAAGCCCAUUCUUUUACGAACUUUGGGCUCGUUGAUUUCUGUAUUCCCGAUUCAGCACCCAUUCAUUUAUUUUAAUUCUACAUACCUUCCGUAUUGUUAUUUAGGGAUAAUAUAGUUAAGUGCACUUGUACAUAUUUGUUUUGGUCUAUUUUCACACUUGAAUUUAACUAUUAGGUAUAUUUUAAUUUUUGAAAUUGAAAAAUAUGAAAGUUUUAUGAUGCGACUCUAUGAGAUUGUACUACAUCAUCACUUGAAAAUUAAAAAACUAUUUAUAUAAAUUUUUAGAGGAUGACGUGGUACAAUCUCUAAGUGCCACGUGUAUUAUUUAAUAAUCGGAUUGGUGGUUAAAUCAGUCAAACCACUAGUUCUCCAUUCAACCAGUUUGAUUAGUUUGACUGCCGGACCAACAAUAAUUAAAUAAAUCAUUAAACAUUCAUAAAAAUCUAAAAAACAAUAAAAGAAAUUUUUGUUAAACCGAUUAAUCAUGGUCAACAGUUGGGGGUUUUCUCAAUUUUCAAUUUUUACCAAUUUCAAGCAAUUUCUUAUUAAAUUGAUUCAAUUUCUUUGUUCAAACCAUCAUACCAAUCGAGUCUCAGUCCAAUCAGUCUGAUCAUUAUUCCAUGUGAGAUAUUAAAAUAAAAAAAUUUACCCUCUUUCAAAUCACUUGUAACAAAACUCUAAAAAUUUGGGAUAAAACACAAAAAAUUUAAGAUCCCAAAUAAAAUAAACGCAUUAAAAAUAUUAUUUGUACAGGUAGUAAUGCAGCCAAUUAGUCUAGAUAUGUUUCAAAUCAAUUGGUUUGAUUCAAUACAAAGCCUAAAUUAUAGUAAAUUUUAUUUGCUCGAUUAAUAGAAUUUAUUUAAAAAGAGCCAAAUGAAAACCACUAUACAACUUUAUGAAGUCGGCAACACAUCCAACACUCAAAGCACAAAGAAACUAGAUGUCAACAAUAAAACAAUAAUGCCAACAUUCUCAAACAUGUCAACAAAAAUAUUCUAAAAAAAAGGAAAUAGGACAUCCCACCUGGAGUGUUGAAAUUCUUGGACUCAGUCGUUAUAACAACAAAAAAGGAAAUAAGACAUCCAACAUUCUCAUCACAAUGCAUUUUCCUCUUACUCACCAACAACCUCUGCAGUGCGAUAACACAAUUAGAGGCUAUUGUGAUAGCAACUUUUAUAAAUAUUCAAAAAUUAACUUUUAAACACAUCUUGUCUUAAUAUAAGGUAAAGGGUUGAUUCAAACAUAAAAAUUUUAACCAAUUCAUCUCACCUCAAUUCAAUUGAUCACAUAACUAAAUUGAUACGAAAAUCUAUUCAUACAAUGUACAUUUAAUUUAUAUAUGAUUUCAAUUAUGGUUUAAAUUUAAAUAUUUUUUAACAAAAAUUUUAAAUAUUUAAUAUUGAACAAAUAGUCAAAUUUCGAAAUUAUGAACAAUAACUUAACACAUAGGUAAAAGUUUUUUUUUUACUUAAUAAUAUUAUUAGCAAUCGGACAUUAUUAAAUUGUAUAUGAAAAUAAUUAAGCUUAAAAAUUAAAAUUUAAAGGUAAUAUCAUUGUGAAAUUUACUCAAAAUUUAUAAUAUAGUUAUUUAUGUACAUAUGUGACACACAUAAUAAGAUAAUUAUAACACUCCUAACCCGUAUCUAUCACUGAAACAAGGUUACGGAGCAUUACCAGAGUUUACAAAUCAAAUAAAUAGACAUUUCAAACAUUUCAUAUCAUAUAAUAUUCAUGUCAGAAAUCAAUCGAAAACAAAUAUAUUGUUAUUUAUACGAGCCCUCGAGGCCCAAAAUAUGCGAUAGAAACAAGUUGGGAUACUCAAAGAAUUUUUUAGAAAACAUUGAAAUUUUUCAAAGUUGUAAGGGUCACACGCCCAUAUGGGCAUUCGAAAUAGGGGCAUACGGCCGUGUCCCAGCCCGUGUCUGUGCUCGUGUAACUCUCUGACUUGGGUCACACGGCCAAGCCACACACUCGUGUACUAGGCCGUGUGAGCAUACUGACUUGCAUUAUUAAGAAGAUAUAGGGGGCACACGACCGUGCCACAUAGCCGUGUGUCACAUACGGUUGAGACACACGCCCAUGUCCCUACUAUAGGUGUCCAUGGGCCGGGUGGCCCGGCCUGACCUGACGGCCCGCCCCGAAAUAUGGGAGGGUUCGGGCAAAAAUAUAGGCCCGAAAUAUGGGUUUAGGGAAAAAAAUGAGGCCAGUUUCGGGCCUCGGGCACCACUUUUUUGGCCCGGGCCCGGCCCGAAUAUAAUAAAUAUUUAUUUUUUUAUUCUUUCAAUUUUAAAAUAUUUUUAAAAUACUUUUUUUAAUUUUUAUUUUUAAAAUAAUUUUUUGGUGUUUAUUAAAAAAUGGGCCGGGCCAGACUUGGGCUUAGGAAUUUUUUCCUGGCCGGGCCUGGACAAAAUUUUAUGCCCAUAUUCCGGGCUAGACUGGGCCUAGGCCUAGGUCACGGGCAAAAAAAUUUCUGGGCCCAGCCCGGCCCAUGGACACCUCUAGUCUCUACCCGUGUGGACGAAAAUAAGCCAUUUUCCAAACCAUAUUUCUCAUCCAAUUUGAUACUAACCUAAACACAACAAUUUGCAUAUAACCAAGUCAUACUAAAUUAGAAAUGCUUUUUAGUUUUUUAGUUUUUUUUCAUUUGAUUGUUAGAUUUUCAUAAAUUUUAGAUGCAAAAUCAUGAUACUUGAUUAGUAUCAUAAAAUUUAAUUGUGAAAAAAAAAGUAACAUAAAAUAAAAGAAUAAAAAAACAAAGAUAGAUGUUGUAACUAAAAACUCGAGUCUGACACUUAAAAUGCAAACUGAAAUUAUUAAAGGAACAGACACAUCUUUAAACCAAACUUUGUAAUAGAAACACCCACCCAUCUUAUAUCUUUAAACCAAACUUCCCAUUUCUAUUUGGGAUAUCAAUGGAAACACCCACCCAUCAGUCUGAUGCACACCAAACUAGUCUUUAGCUUUAAUUGGGAUUAAUAUUUUAUUUUUGAUCAAUUUUUUACACUUUUUUUUUUUUUGGGAAACACCUCAAUCAAAGCACAUCUGAUUUUAUAAAAAUACUUUUGAUUGUUGUGUUCUGUCAUACCCGUAUCCUUAUUUUUAAAAAUUAUCAUAUCAUGCCGUACCCUCGUUACAUAUAUGUAUUUGUGCUUCAUAAGUAGGUUUUAAAUGUUAUUUUAGAAUAAUUAUAUAUGUCUUCAUUUAUUUUGCAUGAGUUUAAAAUAAUAAAAUUUAAAUAUAGGAUAUAAGUCCUAAUUAAUUUGUAUAAAAAAUUAUUUAAUUAAAUUAAAUCCAAAUCUAAAAUCUAAAUUUUAAUUUUAAUUAUCACAACAAUCAACUUAAAUUAAUUCAAAAGCUUAAAUUUGAAAAUACAUGCGUUUCAUUUUAAAUGAAGUCUAGCUUAGCACAGUUAAAUAUCAAAAGUCUAUAAAAGUUGAAUCAUUAGAUUGGAUUAUAUGUGUGCUUCGAGUAAUUACUUAUUUUGCCUGACUUGAAGCCCAUUUUUUUUGGAAUUUCGAGUCUCUUUAGUUACUUUUUGAAUAUUAAAUAUUACAAUUAUUUAAAUUUAUUUUUUUAUCAAAAAUAUUUUUUUUUAGAAUAAAACUUCAUAAAUCAAAAAGAUCCUAAGUCACAACGUAUCACUAAGUCACAAUGCAUCAGGCUUACACUAAUACACCUAGUACCGAUUCUUAGUUAUGUCUUUGAAAUAUCUUCACUAAACAAAUUCGAUUGUCUCAAUUUUAUUUAUUUAAAAUCAAAAUUAUAUAUAUAUAUAUUUAUUUAGCUCAUUUAAAUGAUAUUUAUUUAAAAUGAAUUAAAUGAGAAUCAUUAAACAAUUUUAUAAAGUUGACAACACAUCUAAUAUUUAAAGCACAAAAAAAUUCGAUAUGUCAAUUACAACAAAACAAUAAUACCAACAUUCUCAAAUACGGCAACAAAAUUGUUCUAAAAACAAAAGAUAAGGCAUCACAACUAGAAUGUACAAAUAUUUGGAUUCAAUCAUUAUAACAACAAAAAAGGAAACAAAACAUCAAACAUCCUCAUCACAAUGGAUUCUUCGGUGACUCGCCAACAACCUCUGCAAUGCAAUAAUACAAAAGGAGGUUAUUGUGAUAACAACUCUUACAAAUAUUCAAAAAUUAACUUUUAGAUGCAGCAUGUCUCAAUCUAAGGCAAAGGGUUUAUCCAAACAUGAAAAUUUUAACCAACUUAAUUCAAUUCAAUUCAACUCAAACCUCAAUCUAUCUAUGUAGUUUACUUUUAAUUUAUAUAUAAUUUCGAUUAUGGUUUAAAUUUAAAUAUUUUUUUGACAAAAAAUAUAAAUAAAACAAAUAGUGAUAUUAAUGAAAAUUUGUAAUUAUGAACAAUAACUUAACGCAUAGGUAAAAGCUUUUUUUUUUUUACUGAAUAAUAUUAUUAGCAAUAGUACAUUAUUAAUUGUAUGUGAAAAUAAUGAAGCUUAAAAAUUAAAAUUUAAAGAUAAUAUCAUUGUCAAAUUUACUCAAAAUUUAUUUUUAACUAUAGUUAUCUAUGUACAUAUGUGACACACAUAAUAAGAUACUUAUAUAUAUAUAUAUAUAUAAUAAUAAUAAUAAUAAGGCAAAAUAAUACAAAACCAAAAGGUAAGACAAUGAAGUGAAAUAUUUCUAACCUUAUGCAAUAUUUGAAAUUGUUAUAAUAACAGUAUCCAACGAAAAUUAGACAUCAACAGAAUGAUUACGUAAAAACUUAAAUCCAAUUGUUACAUAAUAUGAAAAAUAAAAUAAUUAUAUUAUGUAAAUAGAUCAUUCCUGAUUACAAUGAAUAAUAAUCCUUACAAAAAAAUUUAAUAAUUCAAAACUAUAAACAAUAAUUUAUAAACGAUAUUAAAAUAAAAAUAUUAGAAUUUUAAUAUACAAAAAUUUAUAUAGAAAUAUUUUUUGAAGUUUUACAUCAAUUUAAAAAAAAUUGAAAUUGGUAAACGUCCACACUUCAAAAAUCAUUUUUGAUUUUAUCCUUGUUAAUAAUUUUCUAUCGAUUUACAAAAAAAAAAAAAUAAUGAAAAUACAGACAAUAUCUCACAAAAACAUUUUGUAUUAAAAUAAAGAUUUAAUUCUUGUUUUCGAAAUCGUAACGGGUUUGUUUGAUCAAAAACCUGUUAAAGUAUCGGUUCAAAGAGAGGUAAAAAUUUGAUUGACUCGUGAGUCAGUAUGAACUAGUUGAAUCAAUUUAAAAAUCAAUUGAAUAGAUGAUUGAAUCAGUUGAACUAUAUUUUAUAAUUUUUAAUAAUUUUUAAUUAUUUAAUUUGAACCAGACGAAUUAAAUGGUUUGACUAGUUUGGCCAAGGUUGCUCAAAUGGAACUAAACAGAUUAGUCAUAUCAAUUAAAUUGGAAACUUAUAAUAGUGUUGAUUCAAAAAAUAAAAUAUUGAAUCAAUUAAUUUGAGAACUGAUACAAACCUAUUGAACCAAAUAAAAAAAUUAAUUAAACUUAAUUUUAGUAUUUUUAUUUUAAUAAUUUAUUUAAUCAUUAAGAUUAAUUAGAACAAUGAACCAAUGAUUUAAAUUUCGUCAUAAUCUAAUUCUAAAAAUUGUGGAUUUGAGCGCUCCCAAAUUUCCCUUCGCUUUCUCUCUCUCUCUCUGUUCUUCAACAUCGUGUUUAGAUCCGUCCCUCCCAUCCUUGAAAGAUUCCAUCUUUGACCCUUCUUCGUUGAAUCUAUCAAACAAAUUAGGGUUCCGAUCUGUUACUUGUUGUGUUCGUUUAAAAAAAAAAUUUCUUUGCCUCAAAAUUUCAUCUUCAGAAAAAGAAAAAAAAAGGAGAGAGAGAGAGAGAGAGAGAGAGUUUUCGAUUUUCCUUGAUUUUGCUUGAGAUUUAUGUUCUAAUCUGAAAUUCAUUACCUUAAUGAUUUGCUAUAUCGGUUCGAUCUCCAUUACGAUUGCUUGAUUUUGUGUCGGAUUUGGGGUUAAAUCCAAGCUUGGGCGUUUUUACAUUAAAUCAGUAACCAUCGGCCCAAACUCUACGCCUCUUUCUAUCUGGAAAAUUUUUACAUUAAAACAAACGGAGUUUGAAAGUUAAAAAUUGACAUUCCAUUGAAUUUAAGUUUGAAAGUUUGGCUCAACUCACCGAUUACACCCGCUUACAUGAAGUAGAAGCCCUUAUUACAUCGAUACAUCUGUGUGUGUGUGUGUUUUCCGCUUCCUCUUCUUUCUUUUGGCCCUUUUUUAUUUUUCUCAAAAAUCCUCACCUACAGCUUACUCCAUUCCCUGACAUUUUCUCUUAAAAUUACACUGAAAAAGCUCACAUGUUCCCCAAACUUCAUCUAUUACUCAAGUUUCGAUUCCUUGUCUCCGCAUCCAACCGCCACUGUACACAGUCAAACUCUGUUUUUCGAAUUACCGCCACCUAUUCGACGAUAUGCCCAAACCAAGUUGAAAGCCCGAAUGAAGAAGCUAUAGAGCAUCCGAGAGACUCCAUCGAGAUUUUCAAGCAAUGGGGUUGCUGUGAAAACGAUUUGUUGAAGAUCUUUUCACGCCAACCUUCUUUGCGCAACGCUCAAGCUACUUCCCUUUUAUCCAAACUCAACUUGCUGAGUAGCUUGGGACUCAGCGGUUCCGACAUUGUCAAGAUGGUCAAUUGUCGUCCUCGUUUCUUUUGUUCUCGUAUCAAUAAUUGCUUCGACGAGCGGAUUGAGUUCCUCGUUAACCUGUUCGGGUCGCGAGAAAUGCUUCGUAAAGCACUUGUUAGGAACCCUUCACUCUUGACCUAUGAUUUUCACAAUACCAUGAAACCAGUCAUUGCAUUGUACGAAGAGAUUGGCAUUAGUGGAAGUGAUUUGAUUGCUAUGCUCAUCUCACGUCCCACAUUGAUCCCAAGGACUUCUUUCAAUGAGGAGAAGAUGGAAUACAUAAAGAAAACAAGGGUUUCAAAAGGUUCCAAAAUGUACAAGUACGUAGUUUCACUCAUCGGAAUAUCGCGGAUCGAGACUACGUGAAAAGGUGACUAACUUGGAGAAAUUCGGAUGUUCAGAGGAAGAGAUUUGGAGUUUGUUGGGACGUUCUCCUCUUAUUUUGACACUCUCGGUUGAUAAGGUUCAAAGGAACAUGACAUUUGUUUUGGGAACCAUGAAGCUGUCUCCAAGAGUGGUUCUUGAGCACCCGUUUUUGUUGUUCAGCAACCUCGAAGCCGUAUUGAAACCGCGGAUAUCGUUGGCUCGGAAACUAAAGGAAAUGGAGCUUGAUCCGCAGAUUAAAGGAUCGAUCAUGUUGACAGCAUUGAGGAUGACGGAAAAUCGAUUCUUGAAUGUGUUUAUUAAAUGCCAUCCACAAGAUGUGGCAAAUGAACUGUUGGAGUUCUAUAAACAUGCCAAAGGUCUCAAGCCAUUGGCCGAAUCAUCGAAAAAAAUACUGCGUAAAGGAUUUCCAUUUUGAACAUUUUCGUUUGUUUGUUUGGUGCUGUCUUCGUUUUCUUUUUGUUCAUCCAUGUCAAGGGAUAUUUCGGUUAAAUUUUCAGAUUUAUAACUUUUAUUCUCAAAGGGAUAAUGUGAGACUCAAAAUUUUGGGAUAUAAAAAGGGAUGCCUCUUCGUGUUUCAUUGGUGUUCUCUCUCUGCCUAUAUCCCUUGUACUCCUCGUGAUGAAGAGUUGAAAUUUUUUCUAUGUAUGAUGGCUGGAGGGAAUAUAGAUUAUGAAACUCCACCAUUAUUAACUUUGUACGCUCAAUUGGCACCGGUUAAAGCGUGUUUAAAGGCGUAUUUUCUUUUUAUUUAAGAGUUUAAAAGAGAUUAUGAUUUGUGAACAAUAAUUUUUUAAGGUAAAUCUAAUUCUAUAUAUUUUGACCGAUGAUUAUUUUUAUCCUUAAGGUAAAUUUGUGUUAAUUUUGGUUUGGAUGAUGUUUAUUAUUUUUAUUAAUUACUUUUCAACACGGAUAAAAUCUUGCACCAAUUAAAAUUCAUAUAUUAUUAUUAAUAAAAGAUAAAUAAACAAAUUAAAUCUUUUUAAAUGUCUUUUAUAAAUUAGUUUCUUAUUUAUUUUUAAAGUUUAUUAAAUAAUAUUAUUUUAUUUUAUAACUAAUGUAAAGUAAUAUAUAAGGUAAAAUAAUAUAAAGCUAAAAUGAAGUGAAAUGUGUUAAGAAAUGGCUUAAAAUUGGUAGUGGAUUGUUGUUGUUGGUAGUGGGUUGUUGGUGGUAGUGGAUUAGUGGAUGGUUGUUGGUGUCCAUUUUCAACCACAAAUCUUUGCCAAAGUUUUGGACAAUUAUGUCCUUGAACUCUCUUAUAAAUAGAGAGGUUCAUUAGCCAUAUAAAUCAUCCCAAACCAAGAGAGAGCAAAGCUUGUUCUUUGAAAGCUAGGAUUUUAGCUUUCGGAUUUUCUAUAGGGGUUGAGAGUUGUGAGGUUCUCGGGUUGUGUCUUGAGUGUAAAACACUUGUAAUCUUCAUCUUGUUAUAGUGAAAUUUCUUUUCGCCUCUGCCCGUGGACGUAGGCAUUAAAGCCGAACCACGUAAAUCCUUGUGUUCACUUUAUUUUUCGUUUCGGUCAAUUUACUUGUAGUCAUAUCGGAGUUCUCGAAUCGAUCCUUUCCGCAACAAAUUGGUAUCAGAGCGUAGUUGAAGGAGUGAUAAUAUUUUCUGAAUUGCCCUGUGACUGCAGCUUUGUCUGAUCUUUCACAUCAGGAAGAAAAUAUUAUCAUUCAUUCAAAGGUUCCAAAUUAUGGCUACAAGUGUUUCAUCGACUAAGUAUGAUGUCGAGAAAUUUACCGGAAAAAAUAGUUUCAGUUUAUGGCGCAUCAAGAUGCGGGCAGUGCUGGUUCAACAAGGAUUGCUAAAAGCAUUGUCUGGUAAAGAUAAAUUACCAAGCACGCUUUCGGAAGAGCAAAAGGAUGACAUGCUAGAAAGAGCACAUAGUGCUAUUCUGCUAUGUCUAGGAGAUGAAGUGCUACGAGAAGUAGCGGAUGAGAAAACCGCGUCCGGUUUGUGGCUCCGGUUAGAGAGCAAGUACAUGACGAAGUCAUUGACGAACCGGCUCUACCUCAAGCAAAGACUCUAUGCCCUGAAGAUGGAGGAAGGUACACCUGUUUCCCAGCACCUGGAUAAAUUCAAUUCCAUUAUCAUGGAUUUGAAUAAUAUCGAUAACAAAAUCGAUGAUGAGGACCAAGCAAUAAUUGUUUUGUGUUCUUUGCCUCCCUCGUAUGAGAAUUUUGUUGAUACAAUGAUGUACGGUCGUGAUGACCUGACUCUAGAGGAGGUGAAAAAUGCCUUAAGUUCCAGUGAGUUGAGGAAGAAAAUCACUGGUAAGGUGGUCGAAAACAAUGAAGGCGAAGGCUUGGUUGCUCGAGGAAGAUCCAAGGCAAAGGGUGGAAGUUCAAGUAAAAGCCAUCCUAGAUCGCAGUCCAAGAAGAGAAUACAGUGCUACUACUGUAAGAAGUACGGGCACAUGAAGGUAGAUUGUCCGAAAAGGAAGGAGAAAUCAGAAUCACAGGAGCAACAAAAUGAUCGUGCGAAUGUAGCUGAUGCAGAUUCUUCAAGUGAUGCCGAGAUCGUUCUUGCAGUAUCCGACUCUUACGCUGGUGGGAGAUGGAUUCUUGAUACGGGAGCUACAUUUCAUAUAAGUACUUCGAAAGAUGCAUUCUCAACAUACGAGAAGCAUUCUGGUUCAGUACUAAUGGGAAAUGACCACGCAUGUCAAGUCAUGGGGAUUGGCACAGUUCGUAUAAAGAUGUUUGACGGUAUUGUUAGAACUCUAACUGAUGUUCGGCACAUUCCAGAAAUGAAGAAAAAUUUGAUCUCUUUGAGUACGUUGGACAAGAAAGGCUUUCGGUACUCUGCUGAAGGUGGAGUUCUCAAGGUAUUCUCGGGUGCUUUGACUGUGAUACGUGGUAAUUUGGAGCGGGGCCUUUACUUCCUCGAUGGUUCCUCGGUUACAGGUGUUGCGGGAGUGUCAUCAUCAGAUGAUCUAGAUUCUGACACCACGAAGUUAUGGCAUAUGCGGCUCGGGCAUAUGAGCGAGAGAGGCUUAUCGGUGCUAAGCAAACGAGGAUUAUUGUCUGGGCAGUGUACAGGAAAGUUGAAUUUCUGUGAGCACUGCGUCUUCUGUAAGCAGACUCGGGUAAAGUUCAGCACUGGGAUUCACAAGACAAAAGGCACAGUGGAUUACUUCCAUUCUGACCUUUGGGGGCCUUCUCCGACAAUUUCUAAAGGUGGUUACAGAUAUCUGCUUACCUUUAUCGAUGAUUACUCGAGAAAGGUUUGGGUGUAUUUUCUGAAGAGCAAGUAUGAGGUUCUCAUCAACUUCAAGCAAUUUAAAGCUUUGAUCGAAAAUCAAACAGGAAAGAAGAUCAAGCGAUUCCGGACGGAUAAUGGCUUGGAGUUUUGCUCAGGUGAAUUCAAUGAGUUCUGCAAAAAUGAAGGAAUAGUGAGACACCGCACUGUUCGUCGAACACCACAACAAAAUGGAGUUGCAGAACGCAUGAAUAGAACUCUCUUGGAGCGAGCUCGUUGCAUGCGAUCAAAUGCUGGGCUCGGUGAAGAAUUUUGGGCUGAAGCUGUUAAUACUGCUUGUUAUUUGGUUAACAGAUCUCCGUCAACAGCUAUUGAGCUGAAGACUCCUGAGGAAGUAUGGUCUGGUUCUCCUGCUGAUUACUCUGGUUUAAGAGUGUUUGGCUGCCCUGCGUAUGCUCAUGUAAAUGAGGGAAAACUCAAACCGAGGGCGAAGAAAUGCAUAUUUCUUGGAUACGGCCAAGGGGUGAAAGGAUACAGGUUGUGGUGUCCUGAUCCGGUUUCGUCCAAGUUCAUCAUCAGCAGAGAUGUGACUUUUGAUGAGUCAUCCAUGCUUCGAUCCACCACAAAUUCCCGGGAAAAGGAGGAGUCAGAUAGAAUGGGAGAUCACGGUGUUGAGAAGCAGGUGGAGUGUCAGGUGGACGCUCCAAUUCCUACGGAAGGUACUUCAGUCCAGGAUGAUCAAGUUGAGGUGCAAGAUUCCGAUGAAGAUGAGUCACCUCAAGAAAAACCAUAUAGCAUUGCCACUGGAAGAACGAAGAGACAAAUCAAACCAAAUCCGCGUUACGCUAAUCUGGUGUCUUUCGCGCUCAGUGUGGCGGAGUCCAUUGGUAUAGAACCUUCCAGUUAUAAUGAGGCUGUCACGUGUGAUGAGUCGGCACAGUGGGCAAUUGCUAUGAGUGAGGAGAUAGAAUCUCUUCACAAGAACCAUACUUGGGAGUUGGUUAAGCCGCCAAGUAACCAGAAGAUAGUUGGUUGCAAAUGGGUCUUCAAGAAAAAGGAAGGCAUCCUAGGGGUUGAAGCAACUAGAUUCAAGGCACGAUUGGUUGCUAAAGGCUUCACUCAGAAAGAGGGGAUUGACUACAAUGAAGUUUUCUCCCCAGUCGUAAAGCAUUCUUCCAUUCGUGUAUUACUUGCCAUGGUGGCCAAGUCUGAUCUAGAACUUGAGCAGCUUGACGUAAAAACGGCGUUCUUGCAUGGUGAGCUCGAGGAAACAAUCUACAUGCGUCAACCAGAGGGUUUUACAGUUCCUGGUAAAGAAGACCAUGUCUGUCUAUUAAAGAAGUCUUUAUAUGGAUUGAAACAAUCCCCAAGGCAGUGGUACAAGCGGUUUGAUAGCUUCAUGAUUCAGCAUGGUUACACAAGAUGUGACUAUGAUGCUUGUGUCUAUCAUCGGAAGCUCUCAGAUGGUUCGCACAUUUAUUUGUUGCUGUAUGUUGAUGACAUGUUAAUUGCUUCCAAAAACAUGUCGGAAAUCAACAAGUUAAAGUCGCAGUUGAGUGGUGAGUUCGAGAUGAAGGAUCUGGGUGCUGCCAAGAAAAUUUUGGGCAUGGAUAUUCACAGAGAUCGCAAGGCGGGCAAGCUUCGUGUGUCGCAGAAGAACUACAUUGAAAAGGUUCUUCAACGCUUCGGCAUGGAUAAAGCGAAAACUGUGAGUACUCCGUUGGCACCACAUUUCAAACUCUCUGCAGAGUUGUCACCACAAUCUGAUGAAGAAAAGCAGCAAAUGUCUCACAUUCCAUACUCGAGUGCAGUUGGAAGCGUGAUGUAUGCAAUGGUUUGCACUCGUCCAGACAUUUCACAUGCAGUUAGUGUGGUCAGCAGAUACAUGAGUUGUCCUGGCAAGGAACACUGGCAGGCCGUGAAAUGGAUUCUCAGGUACUUGAGAGGUUCUGCAGAUUUAUGCUUGGUAUAUGAUCAGAGUGACUGCACUAGCAGUGUCACGGGCUAUGUGGACUCUGAUUAUGCUGGAGAUCUGGACAAAAGAAGAUCUCUGACGGGUUAUGUUUUCACUUAUUCUGGAGGAGCCAUUAGUUGGAAAGCUGUGUUACAGUCUACCGUAGCCUUAUCUACGACUGAGGCGGAAUAUAUGGCGUUAGCAGAAGCAGUGAAAGAAGCAUUGUGGAUGAAAGGUCUAGUAAGCAGUUUGGGUUUACAACAGGAUUUCACUGUUGUAUUUUGCGAUAGCCAGAGUGCCAUACAUCUGACUAAAAAUCAGAUGUUUCAUGAACGGACCAAACACAUUGAUGUCAGAUAUCAUUUUGUUCGGGAACAUGUUACGCAAGGUGACAUUGUUAUCAGCAAGGUUGCUACCGAGAAGAAUCCUGCAGAUAUGUUAACUAAGGUGAUCCCUGCAUAUAAGUUCAAGCAUUGCUUGGACUUGAUAGGUAUUCGGGAUUGAUUAGCGCCAGAGAGGCGUUUGGAAGAGGUGAUCCAGUUCGAGGAAUUCACUAUGAUGUUCAGCUUGGUAAAUUUCAAGCCAAGGUGGAGAUUUGUUAAGAAAUGGCUUAAAAUUGGUAGUGGAUUGUUGUUGUUGGUAGUGGGUUGUUGGUGGUAGUGGAUUAGUGGAUGGUUGUUGGUGUCCAUUUUCAACCACAAAUCUUUGCCAAAGUUUUGGACAAUUAUGUCCUUGAACUCUCUUAUAAAUAGAGAGGUUCAUUAGCCAUAUAAAUCAUCCCAAACCAAGAGAGAGCAAAGCUUGUUCUUUGAAAGCUAGGAUUUUAGCUUUCGGAUUUUCUAUAGGGGUUGAGAGUUGUGAGGUUCUCGGGUUGUGUCUUGAGUGUAAAACACUUGUAAUCUUCAUCUUGUUAUAGUGAAAUUUCUUUUCGCCUCUGCCCGUGGACGUAGGCAUUAAAGCCGAACCACGUAAAUCCUUGUGUUCACUUAUUUUUCGUUUCGGUCAAUUUACUUGUAGUCAUAUCGGAGUUCUCGAAUCGAUCCUUUCCGCAACAAAAUGUUUCUAACCUCGUACAAUAUUUCAACUUGUUGUAAUACCAGUAUCCAGUGNNNNNNNNNNNNNNNNNNNNNNNNNNNNNNNNNNNNNNNNNNNNNNNNNNNNNNNNNNNNNNNNNNNNNNNNNNNNNNNNNNNNNNNNNNNNNNNNNNNNNNNNNNNNNNNNNNNNNNNNNNNNNNNNNNNNNNNNNNNNNNNNNNNNNNNNNNNNNNNNNNNNNNNNNNNNNNNNNNNNNNNNNNNNNNNNNNNNNNNNNNNNNNNNNNNNNNNNNNNNNNNNNNNNNNNNNNNNNNNNNNNNNNNNNNNNNNNNNNNNNNNNNNNNNNNNNNNNNNNNNNNNNNNNNNNNNNNNNNNNNNNNNNNNNNNNNNNNNNNNNNNNNNNNNNNNNNNNNNNNNNNNNNNNNNNNNNNNNNNNNNNNNNNNNNNNNNNNNNNNNNNNNNNNNNNNNNNNNNNNNNNNNNNNNNNNNNNNNNNNNNNNNNNNNNNNNNNNNNNNNNNNNNNNNNNNNNNNNNNNNNNNNNNNNNNNNNNNNNNNNNNNNNNNNNNNNNNNNNNNUAGUGUGGUCAACAAAUGCAUUCACAUUCUUUCUCCUUCCAACUAUUUCCAUCAAUAACAUUCCAAAACUAUAAACAUCGGCUUUGUAUGAGAUGCCUCCAAGAUUUUUGUAAACCAAUUCAGGAGCAAUAUAUCCUAUUGUUCCUCGUGCUGCAAUGAGAGAGACAAUGCUAUCAUCUACUGAAUACAAUUUAGCAAGGCCAAAAUCGAGAACUUUUGGAUUAAAAUUCUCAUCAAGAAGAAUAUUGUGUGGCUAGUUAUCAAAAUGUAGAACUUACCCAAAAGCUCGUUUUUUAUUCGAAAAUAUUAAUAAUGUUUUUAAUUGAUAUUUUACAUAUUUCUAUAAUUAAAUUUAAAUUUUAAAAUUUUUGUAUUAUUUAAAUUAAAAUAAAAAUAUUUAUCCAAGCCUAACCCAAAUCGAGUUGGGCCGGGUGGGCGAUCCGGUCAUGAUAGGAAAGGAAAAAAAAGGAAAGACGAAGCCUAAACAGGCAGUGUGCAGCCCACUAAAUUUAUUUUAAUUUUACAUACAUUCCAUAUUAUUAUUUAGGGAUAAUAUAAUUUUUGACCCCUAAUCUUGAUAGUUAGGUGGACUUUAGUACAUAUGUCUUUUUUGUUCUACUUUGACACUUGAACUUCACAAUUAAGUAUAUUUUGGUUCCUAAACUUAAAAAUUUUGAAAGUUUUAUGAUGCAACUCUCUGAGAUUGUGUUACAUCAUCACUUAAAAAUUAAAAUAUAUAUUUAUAUAUCAUCUAUUGAGCCUGCCCAAUCAUUGUCAACAAAACCAAGGAGCUUCAUGCUGUCAACCUUGAUAAACAUCAUCCCAAAGCUUAGAGUACCUUUGAUGUACCUGAUAACUCUCUUACCAGCUUGAAAAUGGCUCACAUUGCAGCAAUGCAUGACCCUGGACAGGAGGCUGACUGCAAACAUUAUGUCUGGUCUUGUGGCUGUCAAGUACAGAAGGCUACCUUCUCGAAAUCACCCUGGCUGGUCAACUUUUCUCCAAUAGCAACUGGUGUGCUAGUUGCUUUACUGUUCAACAUGGAGAACCUGUUUAGAAUUUUCAAGGCAAAAGCCUUUUGGCUUGGGAAAAUCCCUUGUUUAUUCUGAGAUACUUCCAUACCAAGGAAAUAGGUCAUUUCUCCUAAGUCUGACAUCUCAAACAUGCUCUCCAUUUUUCCUUUAAAGUCUGUCAACAUAGCAUUGUUACUUCCUGUCACUAGCAAAUCAUCCACAUCGCUUUUUCAUCGUCAGAAGGCAAUAAUUGUAUACACCAAAAGGUUGUUAUUAUCAUCUUCUUCACCAUUGCUUUUUCAUCGUCAGAAACAUCUCUUAACUCCAUGUCCCCUCCUUGAUCCAAUCUGUCAUCAAUCCAUGAUGGAAAAUAUAUCUGACUAGUGUCGUCAACAAAAGCAUUUUCAUUCUUUCUCCUUCCUAUCAUUUCCAUCAACAACAUUCUAAAACUAUAAAUACCGGCUUUGUAUGAGAUGCCUCCAAGAUUUUUGUAAACCAAUUCAAGAGCAAUAUAUUCUAUUGUUCCUCGUGCCACAGUGAGAGAGACAAUGCUAUCAUCUAUAGAAAACAAUUUAGCAAGAUCAAAAUCGAAAACUUUUAAAUUAUAAUUCUCAUCAAGAAGAAUAUUGUGUGGUUUAAUACCAAAAUCAAAAACUUUUGGAUUAUGUUGAUAAGUAUUAGUCCCAUAUGCAUGGGAGAGUAUUAAGUUGAAAUAUUAAAUUUAGAGUUUAUUAUAAUAAUUUUUUAUUCAAACGGUUUAUUCUAACAAGAGCGGAAACUUUUAUAAUUUAAUACAAUUAAUUUUAUUAUUUUAUAAUGAAAAGCAAAAGAAAAAGAAGAUUUUAAAUUGUAAAAAAAAUUUAAAUAAAUUUGGACCUUAUACUUGUAGAUAAACCUUUAUCAAUUUAAUAAAUUCCAACUAUAAUGUGGAUGACCAAGAGAAUGCACGUCUUAAGUCUUCAUUGAAACACAAAAGCAUUUAAGUCUUUGAGUUUUUAUAUCAUCGCUUUGGUCCUUUUGUGUUAUGUAAGUCGAGCUAGGCAUAUUCCACCCAACCCAUGGAUCACGCUAGACGAGAUUUCAUGUCUAAUUGUAUAGAUCUUUUAUUUUAGUCGACAACUACUCAAGUAUUUUUAAAAUAUUUUUUAAUAUAAUUACAUAGGUUGUUGAUUUUAUUUUAUAAUCUCUUUUUAUUUUGCUUAAUUUUAAUUUUAUUUUUCAAUUCUAAACUCCUUUAUUUUUAUUUUACAUGUUGAUUAAAGAAAUAAAAUUAUCGCCUUUCUUUAUGGAUAUGACCUUACUUGUUGCUAUCUACUAAUUUUAUAUUUUUUAAGUAGGUUUUUAUUGUUAUAGAUCUCCACAACUUAACAAAUAAGAAUUUGAGCCCAAAGAGAUAUUGAAUUUGGUGGUGCAAUAGAAUAUUUUCAUUGCUUUUGUGCAAUUCUAAACAUUCAUAACACUACUACGCCUAUUAGGAACAUAAAACAAAAAUAAAGAGAUCCCAUUGAAAAAUCCAAGUCCAUGGAACAGAGAGUAGAUUUCUUGGAUAUUCUCAUAUUCAAGUUCACACCUACAAUAACCACACUGGCGAGAUUGUUUUUUCAAUCGCACGGCAUAAAUGUUAAUUAAGUUCCCAAGAGCGGCAAAGCAUGAAAGAAUAAAUUUAGAAACAAAUCAAAAGCGGCCAUUAGGUGGCUAAACAAAGGGAGUUUUUUCCUAUAAUUUGGGAUGCUCGCUGCAAACUUUGAUAGGGAACAAAAAUAUAAAUCUGCCGACAUAUACAACACACAUGAUAAGAUACUACAUACGUAUAAAAGAAAAUUAAUAUAAAACUAUAAAGGUGAGAUAAUGAAAUGAGAUAUUUCCAACCUCAUUAGACAUUUGAAUUAAUUAUAGUAACAGCCGAGGAUGAUGUACUUGGCUUAUCAACAGAGCUCUCACAACCAUGGACUUCCAUCGAUGUCUCAAGAGGAAGUUGAUGGAAUGGCUUAGGAGGUAUCUCACAGAGUUCAAUAUCUCCUUCAAGCAUCUUUAGUACUUUGCUCAUUGAAGGACGAUCAAUAGGUAAUAAUUGUAUGCACCAAAAGGCUGUUAUUAUCAUCUUUCUCACCAUUACUUUUUCAUCAUCAGAAACAUCUCCCAGCUCCAUGUCCUCUCCUUGAUCCAAUCGGUCAUAAAUCCAUGAUGGAAAAUAUAUUUGACUAGUGUGGUCAGCAAAUGCAUUCACAUUCUUUCUCCUUCCAACUAUUUCCAUCAAUAACAUUCCAAAACUAUAAACAUCGGCUUUGUAUGAGAUGCCUCCAAGAUUUUUGUAAACCAAUUCAGGAGCAAUAUAUCCUAUUGUUCCUCGUGCUGCAGUGAGAGAGACAAUGCUAUCUUCUACUGAAUACAAUUUAGCAAGGCCAAAAUCGGAAACUUUUGGAUUAAAAUUCUCAUCCAGAAGAAUGUUGUGCGGCUUGAUAUCAAAAUGUAGAAUUUGCAUGUCACAUCCUUGAUGCAAGUAGUGAAUUCCUUGAGCCACACCAAGCACAAUAUCAAACAAUUUUUUCCAACCCAAAGUGUUCUUAUUUUCUUCUGUAAAUAUGAUUUUAUCUAAAGAUCCAUUAGGCAUGAAAUCAUAUACCAAAGCUUGCUUUGAUCUCCCUACGCAAAAUCCAAUAAGUUUAGCCACAUUAGCAUGAUGAAUUCUCCCGAUAGAAGCAACUUCAUUUAUAAAAUCUUGGCCGUUCCCCUUUGACUUAUCUAACAGUUUUAUAGCCACAUGAUGUCCACUACGAAGCUUUCCCUUAAACACCGAACCAUAGCCCCCUUCACCUAGUUUAUUUUUAAAAUUUUUAGUCAUUUUUUUAAUUUCUUUGAAAGAAUAUCUAAUUGGUGCUAGAUUGUGGCUUUGAAGAAACUCUUCAAUCUUAUCAUCCAUGGAUAAAUGUCUUCUUCUCCAUUUGUAGAUAACAAGGCCAGACAAACAAAGUAUCCCAGUCAAAACCCUCAAUAUGAUGACCCCAACUUCAAAAACAAGAAAGUAUUGUAGAACAUUAGUACUUUGUGAGGUCAAAAACGAAUUAUCUACAUUCUCAAAAUGUCUAUACACGUGACAAUCGCGUGCUCCCUUAAAAGAUAAAAUUAAGAUAGAUUUAAAUUUUUUAAAAAGUGGUUUGUAGUUUUUAUAACUUAAAAUCAAAUUAUUAAUAUAAAGAAUCUUUCAUUUUUUUCUCAAAUUAAAUGUGGAUAUAUAUAUAGUUUUUUUUCCCCUAUUUCUCAAUGUCUUGGAUAUAUAUAAAAUUGAGGCCAUAAGUAUACCUGUUACAACAAAACAAGUAUGAUCGGUAUCUGUGGAAACACAAAAACAAAAAGAUACAUCAAUAUUACCAGAGAGUAAAAAGUUCAAAGAUCAGUAAAAAACAAAUAAAACCUGCAAAUCACACCAUCUCAUCAGCCGACCCAAAAAAAAAAAAACCAUACCAUGAUAGUAAUAAAUUACAGCUGAAAUGCACCCAAAAUAGACACUGAUGUGAUAUGACACCGCGCACAAUCUGCAGUAUUCAGCACACCUAAAUAAGCCAAGCUAUUGUAGAUGGGACCAAUGAGUUAAACAUAAGAGUAAAUUUUAUGCAACACUGUAUUAACAUUUCUUUUUAAUGUAUUUUAUAUUAAAAUUACAAUAUAUAUAAAGUUACAAAUUUUAUUGUGAAAAAAAAAAGUAAAAGGGAUCAAAUUAGCUUAUUAUAAAAGUAGAUUAUGUUAUAUGUACCCAAAAGAAAUUUUGGCAGAUUGUCUUCUAAGAUUAUACAAAAAUUAUUAACAACUGAGUAUUAAUAACAUAUCAAAUAUUACAACAGUUAAUUUACGUAUUUUUAUAGUAAGAAGUAUGCAACAUCUAUUGCAUACAAAUUUUUUGUGUUUCGAAAAUAAAAGAUAUUAUCUAAACUAAAAAUUGUAAAAGAAAGAAAUGUUUGUUUAUAAUUUAAAAAAUUAAUUAUUUUAAGUAAUUUAAAUAAAGCUAAAUUAAGUUGGAGAAGAUAGUAAAUAUAAUUGAAUGUAUAAUAAUACUUUGUUAUUUUUAAAAUUUGUUGAUGUGACAUUAUUUUACUGGUGCAUAAAACUAUACUUUUUAGAAUUGUACUAAUAUUUAAAGAAGGUAUAAUUACCAAAUAAGUUAAUAGAAUAAAAGAAGACAAAACAGCAGAGGCAGUUGCAUUCAAUUUAAAGAAAAAUGUUUUUUUAAUAAAAAUUUAAAUUUACAAAUUUAAUAAAAUUAUAUAUUUAAUUUUUAUUAAUAUAUAUAGUGAAACAGGCCAUUAAAUUUCUAUUAAUAAAAGUUGUUGCCGUAAUUAUAGUAAUUACUACUAAAAAGCUAUGAAGGUAUUUUUUUCUAUGAUUGGGAAGUGCACAGAUUUUACGAACAAAAACAUCAUCUUUAAUUAGCUAAUAAAAUUUAAUUGCGAAAAAGAACAUAAAAGAAAUAGGUAGGUCAUACAAAAAGCAGAGGCAGAUACUAAAUUAGAAAUGCUAUUAGGUUUUUUUUUUUUUUUCAUUUGAUUGUUAUGUCUUAAUAAAUUAUAGGUAAAAAAAACAUGAGAAUUAGCAUGAUGAGAUUUAAUUGUGAAAAAAUAAUAACAUGAAAUAAAAGAAAAAUAAGUAAGUCAUACAAAAAGCAAAGGCAAAUGUUUUAACUAAAAAUAUCAGUUUGAUGAUGUAAAGAGCGAUGCACACUCAGAAUAUAAUUGAAAUCGUUGAAGAAACCUACACUUCUGUAAACCAAUUUUUGUUUUCAUUGCACUGGUAGUCAUGCCAGUAUCUAAUUGUCCAAAAAGAAGACAAAACAGCAGAGAAAGCAGAGGCAGAUACUAAAUUAGAAAUGCUUUUAGUUCAUUUGAUUGUUAGAUGUUGAUCAAUUUUAGAUGCAAAAUCAUCAUACUUAAUUACCAUCAUAAUAUUUAAUUGUGAUAAAUGUAACAUAAAAUAAAACAAAACAAAAAGUAGAUGUUGUAACUAAAAAUUCCAGUAUGAUUCACACUCAAAAUGCAAACUUAAAUUAUUAAAGAAACUUACAUAUCUUUAAACCAAACUUUGUUUUUAUUGUAGUAGCUACUCUCGCUAUCCCAUCCACUCCAUACGACCCAAAAACCCUCUGAUAGUUUUUUGUAGAUAUCCAGCGUAGACAUGCCUGUUAUACUAUUAACCAUAAUUGGAACCUCCGCUUCGAUAGUGCAAGCUUGAUUGAUAUCAGAUGGGUGGGUGUUUCCAUUUAAAAAAUAGAAAUGGGAAGUUGGAAGGGAAGAGGAGGUAUUGGAUUUGAUGGUACAACGAGAAGCCUCAAUAUAAAGUGAUGAUUUUAUAGGUUUCGUGCAAUUCAUAACAUAAAUAAUGCUACUCUCUAACCUUCCAUAAUCAUUAUGAUAAUAAUAAUGAUAAUUAUAAUAAUAAUAAUGAUAAUAAGUAUUAUAAGAAAAAUAAUCUACAGAAGUAAGAGGAAGGGAGUUGCAAUCAUCCGUGUCCAAGCUCGCAUCCACCAUUUGUAUUGUAUAAUUUUCGUAAAAGAUUUGUUGGACAGAUAAUUUCCCUCCUCUCCCAACCAAAGUGGUGCGAUUGUUAUUCUCACACUCAAGUUCAAAGCCAUAAGGACUACAGUGGAGAGGUUGGUUUUUUAAUCGGAAUGGAAAACUGAUAUUCAAAUUCCCACAGAAAGUAGAGCCGCAGUCAAGAUGCCUAGCAAAACAAACAGCAGGAAAUAGAAUUACAAAUAAAGCAAAAGCGGGCAUUAGGUGACCCAACAAUGGCAGUUUUGCUUUUAAUUUUGGCAUGCUAAAAUUUUGGGUAAGGAAGAAGAACAAUAAUGGGGGUUAAUGAUUAAGUUUCUAACUAAAUCAGGGAAAUAUAUAAGAAAACUUCAGUGGGAGAAGAAGCAUUAAUGGGGACACAAGACUUUGACUACUCUUCAGCUUUAUUUGGGAUGAAUAUUUUAUUUUCAAUAAAUUGUUUACACCUUUUAUUCUUUUAUCUUUUUUCUGGGAAACACCUCAAUCAAAUCACAUCUAAUUCCAAGAACAGUGCCAUGCAAGCAAAAGAAAAAGAAAUUUUAAUAUUAUUGAAAAAAUUUUAAAUAAAUUUGGACCAUAUGCUUGUAGAUCAACCUUUAUCACCUUAAUAAACUCCAAUUACAAUGAGGAGGACCAAGAGAACGCAAGUCUUUAGUCUUUUUUGAAGCACAAAAACAUUUAAGUGGCUGGGAACAACCUUUUGUGUUAUGUAAGACAACUAUUUGUUGCAUCUUUCUAAAAAGUAAGUUCAUAGUUAGAAGUGUCAAGCAAGGCGGCUCAAUGCCCAAUUGUAUAGAUUCUUUUUAUUUUAUUCCACGAAUACUUAACUACUUUUCAAAUAAUUACUUGAAUUUAAAAUAAAACAAAUUAAAUAUAAGAUAUAAUUUCUAUUUAUUUAAGUUUAAAUUCAAAACUAAAUUCUAUUUCUAAAUUUUAAUUAUCUAAAACAAUCGACUUAAAUUAAUUUAAAAACUUAAAUUUGAAAAUACAUGAAGAGACUUCAAAUUCCGUUUUAUUUUAAAUGAAAUCAGUUUAGCAUAGAGGUGUCUAUGGAUCAGGUCAAGUCGAACCGAAGUUCAGCUUCAAACAAUUUCUAAGUCCUAGCCUGUUUUUGAUCCAACUCACCCAAAAGCUCGAUUUUUAUUCGAAAAUAUUAAAAAUGUUUUUAAUUGAUAUUUUACAUAUUUUUAUAAUUAAAUUUAAAUUUAAAUUUAAAUUUUUUAUUAUUAUUUAAAUUAAACUAUAAAAAUAUUUAUCCAAACCUGAACUAAAUCGAGUUAGGCCGGGUGGGCGAUCCGGUCAACACAGGAAAGGAAAAAAAGGAAAGACGAAUCCUAAACAGGCAGUGUGCAGCCCACUAAAUUUAUUUUAAUUCUACAUGCAUUCCAUAUUAUUAUUUAGGAAUAAUAUAAUUUUUGACCCCUAAUCUUAAUAGUUAGGUGCACUUUAGUACAUAUAUCCUUUUUGCUCUACUUUGACACUUGAACUUCACAACUAAAUAUAUUUUGGUUCCUAAACUUAAAAAAUAUGAAAGUUUUAUGAUGCAACUCUCGGAGAUUGUGUUACAUCAUCACUUAAAAAUUAAAAAUAUAUAUUUUUAGAGAAUGGCGUGGUACAAUCUCUAAGUGUCACAUUCAUUAUUUUAAUAAUCAAAUUGAUAAUUGAACCAGUCAGACCACUACUACUCGAUUCAACUAGUUUGAUCAGUUCGACUGUCGGACCAAUAAUAAUUAAAUAAAUCAUUAAACAUUCAUAAAGUUCGAAAAAAAUAGAAAACAAGAUUUAUUAAACAGAUUAAACAUCGUCAACAGCUGGGGUUUUUCUUAGUUUUUUUUUACCAAUUUCAAGUUUUUUUUUAUUUAAUUGAUUCAACCUCUUUGUUCAAACCAUUAUACUGAUCGACUCUCAAUCCCAUCAGUCUAACCAUCCAAUCCACUCCUAUACUAGUAACACUGAUCACAUUAUCAAAUCUUAAUAGAAUUCAAGUUUAAGAGACCAUAAUAGACUUGGUUGCCAAGUCUAGAUGCCACAGUGGACCAAAAGAUUUACAAGUACCAAAGUAAACCUAAUUGUCAAGUUCAGGGCCAAAAUUUAUAUUAUCCUUUAUUUUUAUUAGUUUCACUACAAAAAUUAUAAGAGUUUUACAAAUUGCACAAAAAGAAAACCUGAAAAACAGAAUAGGUGCUUGAGGUAGAGUUUAUAUAUAAUUGGUAAAAAUACCAAGGAAGCUCCUGUACCUAGUGGUAAAUUGUAUUUCGGUUCAUCUACUGAAAAAUGGAAAAUUUAGUUUUUAUACAUUUUGAAAUGUGAAAAUUCUAUUAAAUGAUGACUUGGACAAGUGGAAAAUUAUUAUUUACUAGUAAACUAUAAAAAUGGUCACUCAACUAUUAAUUUUUUCGAUUUAGUCGCUAAACUUUUCAAAAUUAAAUAUUUUAAUUACCUUGAGCUUAUGUGGUUUUUUUUAUUAGUCUAGUAACAAAAUUAUCCCACUAAUAUUUACAUAUUUUAUCAAUUUGGUCUUAAACAUAAAAAAAUUAAUAAAUUUGGCCCUCCAUAUUUACAAAAUUGACCAAUUUAAUCCUAACUAUAAGAUUUUCUUAAAUAUUUCUUAAAAAAAAUAUUUUUAGCCAUUUAUAACACAUCCCAUGUGAGAUAUUAAAAUAAGAAAAAAAAUUAUCCUCUUUUAAAUCACUUGUAAAAAAAUUCGAAAAAUUCAGGAUAAAACACCAAAAAAUUUAAGAUCCAAAAGAAAACAAAUGCAUUAAAAACGUUAUUUGUACAGGUAGUACUAUAGCCAUUUAGUCUAAAUAGGUUCAAAAUCAAUUGGUUUGGUCCAAUGUGAAGUAUAAAUUAUAGUAAAAGAAAUUGUUACAAGUGACAUGAAAGAGGAUGCUAUUUUUCUUAUUUUAAUAUCUGACAUGGAUUAUCCCGGUGAAUUAUAAAAGACUAAUAAUGAUUUUUUAAAAUAUAUACAUUUAAUUUUUAAAUAUAUAUAAUAAAUUUUCUAACUGCAAAUAUAUAUAUAAAAAGUCAACAACAUUAAAAAUACCAAAUUAAGGGAAAACUUUGCAAUUUUAUGAAGGUUGAGGUGUAGCAUGCUAUGUUCCUAGCAUUUAAAACAAGUACUUGAACUUCAUACCAUGGUAUGUUCCUUAUGAUAUUGCAAACACCGUCUUAAUUAUAUUUAUGGCAUUUGUGGUAUAAUAUGAUACCAGGGAAGAAAGUUAGGUAAGAAAUUAAAAUUUUAUAUAAAAAUUAAAUAAUACUUUAAUUGAAAUGGUAAUAUUAAAAUUUUGAUAUGUAUAUGUUUCCGGUUCAAAUUUUAUCAUAGUAUUAUUUUAUUAAAAAGAUAUGAAAAAAUAAGAACACUCUCAUAUUUAAUAUUUCUUACUUUGUAUAUGAAAUGAUAUUUUAGUAAUAUCUCAAUUGAUUUCAUGACUAAUUGACUCAUGAUACGAACUCAACCAAAAAUUUAAUUUAAGUAUAGAUUUAACAAGUACUUAAUAGUAAUAUCCCUAACUAUGUAACUUGAAACCCAAUAAAUCAAACCUAGACCUACCCAUGGGUCGGGGCCACUAAGCCUAGUCGAAGCCCUACCUGAAAAAUGGGUUUGGGAAAAAAUAAUGCAUGUUUAGAAAACAAGUCGAGCCUUAAGUAAGACUUUUUUGUUUAGGCUCAGCCCAAAUUUGUAAAAAAAAAUUGUUGUUUUCUCACUGCCUUACUGUCAUUUCACUAUUAUGUUGCUACUAUUUUAUUAUUAUUGUUUGGAUAUUAUAUAAUUCUUAUUUUAUUGUUAAUUUUGCUACUAUUUUAGAGUCAUUUUCUUGUCAAGUUGCACAUAUUUUAGUGUUUUUUAAGUACAAAUAUUUUUAAUUUAUUUUCAAUUUGUUGAAAAACAUUUGUUUUAAUGUUUUUAGUGUUCUUGAUUAAUUAUAUAUUUUUAAAUGAUAUAAAAAAAUUUAAUACGGGUGAGCCGGUCUUGACUUGGGUUUUAUCAUUUUUAUUUAGGUUAGCUUGAACAAAAUUUUAGGCUCAUUUUUUAGGUCAAGCCGAACCCGAACCUAUCAAAUAGGUCUAAAAUUUUGUCAAAACCCAACUUGACUCAUGGACAGAUCUAAUCAAACAUACGUAAUUUCCAUUUCUUUAAAAAAAUCUUUCAUUAAAAAUUUUAAUUUUACUAAAUUCAAUUUAAAAAAAACAAGUUUAAUUUAAUCUCAUUCAUCAUUUCCUUUAUAGAAUAAUACUUAAUAUACUAUUAGAAUAUGAGUCUCAGACACUAUAAAUGAAUAGUAAUAAUAAAAUAGAUUAUUAUUGGGUAAAAAUAAUAAUGAAAAAUUUAUAAAUAAAUAUUAAAAAUCUUGUUAAUAUUAAAUAAGAAAAAUAAUAUAACAAUUAUACUACAUUUGAUUGGAGUAUUAUUUUCUUUCACAUGUUUUAGUCAUCUGUUAGAUAUAAAUUAAUCACAAUUGGUAAUUUUUAAGGGUAAUUAUACCAACAGUCAUUCAAAUUUGAUACAGCUGACAAAACAGUAACUUAGGUUUUAAUUCAGUCACUCAACUUUCAAAAAAUGACAAAACUGUCCUUUUAACCAUUUUUAUUAUAGACAUAACAGAAAAGUGACAUGGCAGUUGACGGCUUCCUUGUUGUCAUUAACCAACCAGUUGGACACUAAGCAACAAUUUAAACAACCCCUUUUAGCAUCACUUUAGGGUUUAGGCAAUAGAAGAAGAAGAAGAAGAAGAGGAAGAAAAAAUAGAAAGUUGCACCAAUUUGGGGACCUAAGUAAUACCAGAAAUCCAUUAGAAUUUCUGGAUUUGGCAUCAUGAUGACUGAAGCUCCUCAAAGUUGCAAAGUUCCUUUGCCUUCCUUGACUAGGAAAGUCCCUUUCCAGUAGCCGCUUUAUUUCAAGCUUGGAUUUUGCUUCGCCUAUAUCAAUAGAUGCAAACUUGAGCAGAGUGGAGAUAAAAAUUUGGGUUUGUGGGCAUUGUAUUAAGACCUUGGUUGACUCCAACUCAGUUUAAAUAGGAAAGACACCACGGUAGGGAUCGAGAAUUCGACAGCUUAAGGUUGUAGUCAAUGCAACAAGCAUUUGAAUGCUUAUCAAGGGUCUAAGUAACCUCUUCAUGAGAACAGUCACAUUGGAGGGAUGAUAAAUAAAGUUUGCUAAGUAUGGCCAAAAUAAGAAAAAAAAGUACAGAUCUUGGAUAAAUUUGUAUCAGAUUUAGACCUAUCUUCAGGUUUAGUAGACCUAUAUUCAGAUUUAGACCUAUCUUCAGGAUUAGGACCUUGGUUGACUCCAACUCAGUUGAAAUAGUAAAGACAUCGUGGUGGGGAUCGACAAUCCGACAGCUUAAGGUUACAGUCAAUGCAACAAGCAUUAAGAAGGAAAAAAGUACAGAUCUUGAAUAAAUUUGUAUCAGAUUUAGACCUAUCUUCAGGUUUAGUAGAUUUUGACAUCCCAAAUAGAGAAAGGCGUUUAAUCACAAAAAAGAUGUUAUCUCAGUAUUGGAUUUUACAGGAAAUGAAGAAAAAAUAUCAGAUCUUCCUCAUGAAAUGAGAAAUAAUUUCUUAUUUUUGAAUAAAACCUAGAAAGAUGAAAAGAUGAAAUCUUGAAGUGAGAAAUCUCGCAACAAAGUGAAAUGAAAAUUGCAGAUGAAAAAUACCAAUCAAUUUCUAACCCUUAACCCUGUUAAUCGAUUUUUAAUUUGAUUUUUUAAUCCUUAACCAACCUUGAACCCUGAAAUUGAUUUCUAACCCAACACUCUGGUUUGUUAACUAUUGUUUCUAAUCCACAAUAGCAACAACUAAAGGAAGAAGAAAAAGUAUAUCGGGGAAAAAAACGUUAACGGUUUUACAGUCUCUUCUUCUUCUUCUUCUUCUUCUUCUUCUUCUUCUGUUAUUAGGGUUUUUUUCUAUUUCUUCUUAAAUUGGGAAGGUUUCCACGUGGACAUAUCCAACGUGGGUAGUUCGUUGGCCAUGUUAGCUAGUUAACUGGUCACAUCACUUGUCUCCUUAGGUCUGUAACGGAAAAUAUUAGUAGGUGACUGAUUUGUCACUUUUUGGUAACGUUAGUGACCAGUUUGUCAAUUUUUAAAGUUGAGUGACUGAAUUUAAACCUAAGUGACUGUUUUGUCAACUGCAUCGAAGUUGGAUGAUUGUUGGUGUAAUUUACCCAAUUUUUAACCACUCUAUGACUUGUUUAUGAUAAAAAAGAGCAAAAUUUUUUGCUUAUUUUGAAGGGAUCUUAUUUUUUAAGUUUUUACUCUCUUUUUUAAUUCCUAUAUAAUUUGUACUAAUUAUUUUAAAACAUGUGUUAAAUAAUUUUUUUGUGAAAAUAGAAUGUUGGUAAUGACAAUAAAUCACAAAGAAAAGAGAAAUAAAAAUAAAGAACACAUAGAUUUUUACGUAGAAACCCUUUCGGGAAAAAACCACGAGCAGAGGAGAAGAAAGUUUAUUAUGUCGAAUUUGAAUGAUUUACAAGAGGAGUUUCGACUACAUCUAUUUAUAGGUUGAAAAAAAACUAAUUCUAAUCAAAGUCAAAUAUAUUAUGCUAAUAAAUGCUAAAUAUAUUAUGCUAAUAAAUGCUAAAUAUAUUAUACUCAUAAAUACUAAAUUUUCUAAAAAGAAGAUAUAUUUUGUUUAACUCGACUUGCAAGCAAUCUCUUAGAAUUUGGGUCACACAACUCUAGUAAUCUCCACCUUGACACGAAUUCUCAAUGAACAAUUUCUUCAUCGAGAACUCUCAACAAACAAGUUUUUCACCUCUUCUAUAAAACCCCUUAAAGGUUUAACUUCAACAAAGAACACUAAUCAAGUCUAAGCAAUGCUCAAACUUGGUUAUAGGAAGUGACUUAGUCAUCAUAUCUACAGGAUUUUCAUGAGUACUAAUUUUGCUCACAACAAUAUCAUCACGAGCAAUAAUAUCACGAACAAAAUGAUACCGAACAUCCAUGUGUUUUGUUCUCUCAUGGAGCAUUUGAUCUUUUGUAAGGAAGAUGGCACUCUGACUGUCACAAAAUACUAUAUUGAUUUGAAGGUCUUCAUUGAGAUCACUAAAGAGUCUCUUCAGUGGUUGAUAAAGUAACUGUAGUUUGCAAAGUGGCUUUCCAAUUGAUUGCACAACCUCCAAUUAUAAAGACAUAACCUAUGAGAGAUAUUCUUCUAUCAAGGUCUCCAGCAAAAUCAGCAUCAACAUACCCAAUGACUCCAUCUCUAGUUCUUCCAAACUGUUAGGAAACAUCAGCAAUACCUCGUAAGUAUCUUAAAAUCUACUAAACUGUUUUCCAAUAUUUUUUACCGAGAUUCACCAUGUAUCUGCUAACUGCACUAACUGCAUAUGAUAAAUAUGGACAUGAACAAACCAUAACAUACAUAAGAGAUCCUACUGUACUAGAGUAUGGAACAUGUGACAUGUACUCAAUCUCAUCAUCUGAUUGUGAAGACAAAGCUGAUGAAAGUCUGAAAUGGGCUGUUAAAAGAGUACUAGCAGGCUUAGCAUUCUGCAUAUUGAAUCUGGUAAGAACUUUCUCAAUCUACCCCUUUUGACUUAGGUACAAUUUACUUGCUUUUCUAUCUCUGAGAAUCUCCAUAUCAAGUAUCUUCUUUGUUGGUCCCAAAUUUUUCAUUUUAAACUCUUCACUUAGUUAGGCUUUGACCUUUCUUAUCUCUCCUUUAUCUUUUGUUGCUAUCAACAUGUCAUCAACAUAAAUGAGUAGAUACACAAAAGAACCAUCACUGUUUUUCUUAAAGUAAACACAACUGUCAAAGCUACUUUUUUUAAAAUCAUGAGAAGUUAUAAAGGAACCAAACCUUUUGUAACACUGUUUUGCUAACUGUUUCAAACUGUAAAGGGAUUUUUUUAGCAAGCAAACAUAGUCCUCUUUUUCUGAGACUGUAAAACCCUCUGGUUGUUACAUGUAAAUAUCCUCCUCAAGUUCUCCAUGCAAAAAUACAGUUUUUACAUCUAACUAUUCAAGCUCUAAAUCAUGUAUAGCCACAAUGCCAAGCAAAGCUCGAAUCGAACUAUGUUUCACAAUUGGGGAGAACACAUCUGUGAAGUCCACUCCUAAAAUUUGACUGUAACCCUUUGCAACAAGUUUUGUUUUGUAUCUAGGUUCUUCAACUCCUGGAGUCCCUUCUUUCUCUUUAAACACCCAUUUACAAUGAACAACUUUUUUACCGUUAGGAAGUUUCACAAGAUCGUAUGUUUUGUUUUUGUGGAGUGAUUUCAUCUCCUCUUGCAUAGCAAACAUCCACUUUUUUUAGUCUUCAUAGCUAAACGCAUCAGAAUAAUUAGAUGGCUCUUGAUUUGCAUCUAUAUCUUCAGCCACAUUUAAAGCAUAAGCAACUAGAUCAGUCUUAGCAUACUUCUUUGGAGGUUUAAUUUCUCUUCUAGUUCUGUUUUUAGCGAUAGAGUAUUAUGGUGAAGAAGCAGCUCUAUUUUAAAUUUUUUUGUACUGGCUUGAGGAGUAGACUCUGUUGUAGAUUCUAGAUUAAUCUAAUGCUCUACCUGCUUUUGAUUUUCUUUAUUUGAAGAGUCUUUAAGAGAUAAGUUAGGUCACAUGUAACAACCCGGUUUGACUCUAAUCGGAAUAGUAGUUUUGGGACCACAAAUCUGAGUCCUAAAAAUAUUUCAAUAUUAUUUUGUGUGUUUACUUUGUGUGCAUUUGAUUGUGUGAAAUUUUCGUGUUUUAGUUUUGUUGUUUGAGUGUCCGAUUAAAAAAAAGGAUUAAAUCGCGAAAAAUAAAAAUUUAGGGGUUAAUUAUAAAAGCACCUAAUUGUUGUUGUCUUUUUAAAUGGAAGGAUUUAUGAUGCAAUAAGACCAUAAAGUAGUGAGUGGGUGAUAAUGGUCAAAAAUGACCUUAUAUUAUAAGGUUUAUAUAAUUUGUAUUAAAGGUUAAUAUAGUAAACUAAUAAUUAAAUAAACAUAUGAUAUAAUAAAUCAAUUGAAGCCAUUAUUUUCAUUCUUCCUUUGCUGAAAGUUAGAAAAACAAAUAGGGUUUAAAAGCUUUGAGGUAUCCGGUCAUUAACAAGCUUAAUUCAAGGUAUGUUUUACUUCGGUUUUUGAUAAUUUUUACGUUUUUGAGAUCGUUGCUUCGUGUUCUUCAAAACCCAUAUCUUAAUUUUGUGAAUUGUGGAUGAUUUUGAAAUGUGCCAUUGAUGAAUGCUUGAGUUUUAUGAUGUUAGUAGGUGAAAUAUGAAAUAUAUUUGUUAGAUUAAUAUAUUUUGUAUUGGAAUUUUUAGUGAAAUUGAGUAAAUAGGGCUAAAUUGUGAAAUUAAAUUUUUGGGGAACUAAAGUGUGAAAUAAAUGCAAUGUGUGGACUUGUAUGAGAACCAUGAAUAUUCGGCCCUUGUGUGGUAUGGGCAAAUUUUGUAUAAAUUGUGUUUUAUGCAAUAGGGACUAAAUUGCAAAAAGUGUAAAUAUUAGGGGCAAAAUAGUAAUUUUCCAAAUUAUUUGUUUUUGGAUUAAAUUGAAUGUGUUAAUAAAUAAAUUAUCUUAUUUUGAAUAUAUUUAGAUCGAGAACCAAAGAAAUCGGAGUUAGAUCGGCGAAAAGCCAAAUUAGUCGAAUAAUCGUCCGACUUCGAUUUUCCAUCGUCCGAGGUAAGUCUAUUAGCUAUUUAAUGUUAUUAAAUCAAUAUAUAUAUGUAUGAAUAUCUAUUAUGUUGUUGUUGAGCUAUAAUUAAAAGUAAUUUAAUUGAAUAAAUUCAAAUUAUAAAUGGUAUAAAUAUGUAUAUACAAUGUUCAAAUAUAUAGGUAUAUGCUUAUAUAAAUUUUUGAACUAAGUUAAAGUAUGAAUGGUAUAAAGUUAUAUAUAUAUAAAUUCAAAUAAUUAUAUAUGUAUCUAUAUGUAUACAUAUACUUGAAUUUGGUUGGUUGUAUGAGAGUUAUAUAUAUGUGCACUUAAGAUUCAAAUAUAUGUAAGUAAAAACAUGUAAUUCUUGCUUAAAUUAAAGAUAUGUAUAAUACAUAUGUAUACAUAAGUUUCGAACAUAUAGAUGUAUGUAAAAACAUUUGGGUUUGAUUAAAAGUAUGUAUGUUGUAAUUGUACAGAUAAUUUCGAAUAAGUAAGUAUAUGGAGUUGGAACAUCUAUAUAUAUAUGAAUAAGUCUUGAUUAUAUUUUAAGGUAUAAAUGUUAAAAACGUACGUGGGAGUUCGAAUAUAUCUAAAUGUAUAUUUGUGUACAGAUUCUUGAAUUGAAUCGAAUGUAUGAUUCGCAAACUCUUUUGUGAUUGAAUAUGGACUACAAUGAAUGUGUGUUUGCUGUUAAUAAGUAUUUGAGGAAAUUAUUCUGUAUAUGGGAAAAAUUGAGAUUUUCAAGCAUAGCGCUUAGCAGGCUUAUUGCCGGUGAAACACUUCAGACUAUAUGUCUAGCAGGCUUAAUGCCGGUGAAAUAUUUCAGACUAUAUGUCUAGCGGGCUAAGUGCCGGUGUACUGAAUCAGGCUUAAAGCCUAGCAGGCUAAAUGCCGGUGAAUCUGUUUUAAGUAUGUGAUUAGGUGUACAAUUAUAUGAUUUUGGAUAUAUUUAAUUGAUAAGUAUAUUUAUAUAUAUACAUUUGGCUAAGUGCGUUUGAUGAUUAUAUAUAUAUCCGGCUUAUACAAUUGAGAAAUAUAUAUAUGCUCUGGGAUUAUGCAUUUGAUAAAUAUAUACUUUUAAAUAUUCGGUACACAUAUUUGAUUAGUAACUAUAUAUGCAUUCGAGAUAUAUAUAUACCUUGGUUUAUAAGUAUUUGAUGAAAAUGAAUGCAUUCGUUCAUAUGUAUUAGAUUUGUAUUGGUUUAAAGUUUAAAAUGAGUAUUCAUACACAUUCGGUUAUGAUAUGUGUAUAAUAUAUAUAUGCUCGGUUGUAUACAUUCGUUGUAAUGUUGUUUGGUAUAAAAAUAUAUAUUCAAUUGAUCGCUUUCGACAGGUAUGCAUAUCUGUCUAUAAAUGAAAUGGUCUGAGUACAAUAAUAUAUAAAUAUUAGUUAUUCGUGUUAAUUGAAAUCUCAGUGAAAUAGAUUAAAAAGUAACUUUAUUUAUAUAUUUAUAUACAUUUAGUUAUGCUGUAGACUUACUAAGCUAUAAAAGCUUACUUUGUUUGUUUUCGUCCAUUUGCUUUUAUAGAUUUUGGAGACGCGUUACGAGCUCGGGGAUCAUCAACAUAGUCCAUCACACUAUCGACUUCUUUUGGUAUUUUGUUAAAUAUUUGAACUCAAUCUUAUGGCAUGUAUAGGUUUGAGUAUGAUGUUAAUUACAUUUUGAUUGUAAAUUAUAAUAGUUAUGCGAAAGUAAUUAAAUUUUUACGUUGUGAUCAGUUUGGUUUUAACAUUGUUGAAUUUGUUCGGUAAUGCCUUGUAACCCUAAUUCGGCGACGGAUACGGGUUAGGGGUGUUACAUCACAUAACAGUUUCAUAAAAAACAACAUCUCUACUAAUCACAACAUUUCUAUUUUUAGGACACCAUAACUUAUACCCUUUUACACCAGCUUUAUAACCAAGAAAAACAUAUUUAAUGGAUCUCAAUUCCAAUUUUCCAUUAUCAACAUGAGCAUACGCAGGACACCCAAAGAUCUUUAAAUCAGAAUAGUCAGCAGGAUUACCAAACCAUACCUCUUGUGGAGUCUUUUUCUCAAUGGCAACGGAUGGAGAUUGGUUGAUCAAAAAACAUGCAGUAGAGGCUACUUCGGCCCAAAAUGACUUUGGUAAGUUGGCAUUUGACAACAUACAUCAAACCUUCUCCAUGAUCAUUUUGUUCAUUCGUUCUGCAACGCUAUUUUGCUGUGGAGUAUAACGAACUGUCAGGUGUCUCACAAUCCUUUCUAACUUGCACAAUUUAUUAAACUCAUCAGAGUAGAACUCUAAGCCACUGUUUGUGUGGAGGUAUUUUAUUUGUUUUCCAGUCUAUUUUUCAACCAUAGUUUUCCAAGACUUAAAUGCAAAAAAGACAUCGCUUUUCUGCUUUAAGAAGAACUCCCAAACUUUUCUGGAAAAACCAUAAAUAAAAGUUAGCAUAUUAAUUAGCUCCAUCUCUCGAAGGCACUCUGGAUGGCCCUCACAGAUCAAAAUGAAUAUACUCUAAUGUUUCUUUCGUGUUAUGGAUUCCUCUAGUGAAUUGAAUUCUCUUUUGCUUCCCAAAAACGUAAUUCUCACAGAACUUCAGUUUGUAAAAUCCUUGCCCAAGAAGAAGUCCUCUUUUUCCCAAUUAUGCCAUGUCAUUCUCACUCAUAUGCCCUAGGUAUAUAUGCCAAAGUUUAGUAAUAUCAUCAUCUGACAAGGAAGAGGAUGCGACAACUGUAUCACCAGUAACAAUAAAACUUUGCAAAACAUAUAACUUUGCAGUUUUUCUCUGCCAUUUCAUUACAACGAGGGAACCUUUGGAAAUCUUUAAAAACUCCACUUUCAGUUGUGUAUUUGUACCCUUUUGAAUCAAAUGCACUCAACGAAAUUAACUUUCUCUUCAAUUUUGGAACAUGUCGUACGUCACUAAGUGUCUGACAAGUCCAUCAAACAUCUUAACUUUAAUUGCUCCAACACCUGCAAUUCUACAUGAAGCAUUAUUUCCCAUCAAAACAACACCUUCAAACACUGUUUCGUAAGUUGUAAACCAAUCCUGAUUGGGACUCAUGUAGAAGGUGUAGCCCGAAUCAAAGACUCACUCCUCGCUCACUUUAGAAUUGUAGAUAGAAACGACUAAAAGUUCACCAUCGCUAUAGUCUUCUACAACAUCAAUUUUACCAAAAUUUUCUGGUUGUUUUCCAUUUUGAUUCGCAACCUCCCUUUUGAUAUUGUUUUGUAGCUUAUAGCACUCAGAUUUAAUGUGCCCUUUCUUCUUGCAGAAGUUACAAGAUUUACCUCUGUUUGAAGACUUUGAUCUACCUUUAGAUUUACCGUGAGGAUUCCAUUCUUGUGUCGUUCCAUGAUCAUUAUCAACAUUCCGAUCUUAUCUUCUAUGAACAAUGUAACCCUCUCACUGAGAGUUAGUUUUAACUACAAGAUGCUUCAUCUUAUCAUAUAAGGUUAAAGAAUCAUAAACCUCAUCAAUUGUGAGAGACUCAAGGCUAUAUAAAAUGGCAUCUCUAAAGGUUGAAUAAAACGGGGACAACAAACAAAGUAGAAUCAACUCUAGAUCUUCCUUAUCAUACUGAACCUCCAUGGCUUCCAAGUUUGAGAGAAUUUCUUUAAACAUUGUUAAGUGUUCGUGCACAGACGCACCUUCCUCCAAACGAUGAGCAUAAAAACGCUGCUUCAUAUGCAGCUUGCUAGUUAGAGUUUUUGACAUAAAUAUUUGUUCCGGCCUCUUUCAUAAUCUAGCGGUGGUAUUCUCCUUUAUCACAUCCUGUAAAAUUUCAUUAGACAAGUGCAGAUGUAACUGUGUUAACACGUUUCGAUCCUUGCGGUUCUUCUCUUCCACCGUCAAUGUUGAAGGCAUCUUAUCUAUCCCUAGCAGGGUUUCCUCUAAGUCUAUCUGUGCAAGAACUACCUGCAUCUUUAUCUACCACAACGCGAAUCUGGUUUUGCGAUCCAACAGCGAAAUUUCAUACUUCAAAUACGCCAUUACCGUGAUUGAGAUGAACAAAUCGAAAGCUCUGAUACCAAUUUGUGAAAAUAGAAUGUCGGUAAUGAUAAUAUAUCACAAAGAAAAGAGAAAUAAAAAUAAAGAACACACAGAUUUUUACGUGGAAACCCUUUCGAAAAAAACCACGGGCAGGUGAGAAGAAAAUUCACUAUGUAGAAUUCGAAUGAUUUACAAGAGGAGUUUCGACUAUAUCUAUUUAUAGGUUGAAAAAACCCUAAUUCUAAUCAAAGUCAAAUAUAUUAUGCUAAUAAAUGGUAAAUAUAUUAUACUCAUAAAUAUUAAAUCUUCUAGAAAGAAGAUAUAUUUUGUUUAACUUGACUUGCAAGCAAUCUCUUAGAAUUUGGGUCACAAAAAUAACAUUUUUAACCAUACUGAAAACCAUUUUUUAAUUAAAUAUAAGUACUUAAUAUUUAAUUAAAUUAAAAAGAAAAGAGAUCAAUUCUAAAAUUAUGUAUGGACUUUGAUUUAAUUUGCAAUUGUAUAUAUAAAUUUUAAUUUGGUGUAAUUAUACACGUGUAACUCUAAUUGUGGUUCAAAUAUAUACUUGAAACUUUAAUUUUAAUUUAACCAUAAACAUUUAAAGAAAUAAAAACAUCAAUUUAUUUUUAUAUUGAAUAAAUAUAAUUAUUUAAGUGUGCAAUAUAUAAAUAUAAAAUGAUGUUAUAUCAAUAAUUGUGUUAAUAAUUUAUAAGAAUUGGAUCAUAUCAAAAUUUCAUAUAUAAAAUUAUUAAAAUUUAUAUAUAGAAUUGUACAUUAAACCCAGAGUGCAUGUAUACAUAAUUAAUAGAUUGUACAUAGGAAGUAAGUUUUGCUUAGUGUAAUAUAACUGUCAUUCAAGAUUACGCAUUCAUUUCAGACAAAGCACACACCCUUUGAAAUUCAAGUUUUGAUUCAGAUUCUUUCUUCUUCUUUUUUUAAUAAAAUCUCUAUGAAAGGUUUUUUUUUUUUUUAAUUCCUUAACGGUAGUGAUUUUGGGUUAUGGAGAAAAAAGGAGUGAAAAGUUGUGAUUUUUGUGGAAGUAGGGAUUUUUCUGUUUUAAUAGUUUUAGAAAUGGGUUUGAUGGAGAUUUCAAUAAUGCUUCAUGUUGGAUUAGUUUUGUUGCUACUUUGGAUGCUUUCUCAAUUCAAUCUUUGCCAUCCACUCCCUUAUUUCCUGUCUCUCAUCUACCUCUAUUUGGUUAUUCAUUCAUCUUCUGCUGAGAAUAAAAAAUGAAUCUUUUUUUUCUUUAUUUUUGAACUUGGAUUGAACUUUUUUUUUUAUUGUUUUUGUUACAAAAAUUCCUUUUAUUUCUUUGUUCAUCAAAGGUUCAUGAAAUGUAUGUGACGAGAUUGAGGAAGAAAUUGGAGUUGGAGGAAAUAAUGCACAAAGAAACUAGACAUGUCAACAACAAAACAAUAAUGCCAACACUCUCAAACGCAACAACAAAAAUGUUUUCGAAAAGGAAAUAGGCAUCACACUUAGAGUAUAGAAAUACUUGGAUUGUAACCAUGAAAAACGAAAUAAGAUAUCUGUUGCGGAAAGGAUCGAUUCGAGAACUCCGAUAUGACUACAAGUAAAUUGACCGAAACGAAAAAUAAAGUGAACACAAGGAUUUACGUGGUUCGGCUUUAAUGCCUACGUCCACGGGCAGAGGCGAAAAGAAAUUUCACUAUAACAAGAUGAAGAUUACAAGUGUUUUACACUCAAGACACAACCCGAGAACCUCACAACUCUCAACCCCUAUAGAAAACCCGAAAGCUAAAAUCCUAGCUUUCAAAGAACAAGCUUUGCUCUCUCUUGGUUUGGGAUGAUAAAUAUGGCUAAUGAACCUCUCUAUUUAUAAGAGAGUUCAAGGACAUAAUUGUCCAAAACUUUGGCAAAGAUUUGUGGUUGAAAAUGGACACCAACAACCAUCCACUAAUCCACUACCACCAACAACCCACUACCAACAACAACAAUCCACUACCAAUUUUAAGCCAUUUCUUAACAAAUCUCCACCUUGGCUUGAAAUUUACCAAGCUGAACAUCAUAGUGAAUUCCUCGAACUGGAUCACCUCUUCCAAACGCCUCUCUGGCGCUAAUCAAUCCCGAAUACCUAUCAAGUCCAAGCAAUGCUUGAACUUAUAUGCAGGGAUCACCUUAGUUAACAUAUCUGCAGGAUUCUUCUCGGUAGCAACCUUGCUGAUAACAAUGUCACCUUGCGUAACAUGUUCCCGAACAAAAUGAUAUCUGACAUCAAUGUGUUUGGUCCGUUCAUGAAACAUCUGAUUUUUAGUCAGAUGUAUGGCACUCUGGCUAUCGCAAAAUACAACAGUGAAAUCCUGUUGUAAACCCAAACUGCUUACUAGACCUUUCAUCCACAAUGCUUCUUUCACUGCUUCUGCUAACGCCAUAUAUUCCGCCUCAGUCGUAGAUAAGGCUACGGUAGACUGUAACACAGCUUUCCAACUAAUGGCUCCUCCAGAAUAAGUGAAAACAUAACCCGUCAGAGAUCUUCUUUUGUCCAGAUCUCCAGCAUAAUCAGAGUCCACAUAGCCCGUGACACUGCUAGUGCAGUCACUCUGAUCAUAUACCAAGCAUAAAUCUGCAGAACCUCUCAAGUACCUGAGAAUCCAUUUCACGGCCUGCCAGUGUUCCUUGCCAGGACAACUCAUGUAUCUGCUGACCACACUAACUGCAUGUGAAAUGUCUGGACGAGUGCAAACCAUUGCAUACAUCACGCUUCCAACUGCACUCGAGUAUGGAAUGUGAGACAUUUGCUGCUUUUCUUCAUCAGAUUGUGGUGACAACUCUGCAGAGAGUUUGAAAUGUGGUGCCAACGGAGUACUCACAGUUUUCGCUUUAUCCAUGCCGAAGCGUUGAAGAAUCUUUUCAAUGUAGUUCUUCUGCGACACACGAAGCUUGCCCGCCUUGCGAUCUCUGUGAAUAUCCAUGCCCAAAAUUUUCUUGGCAGCACCCAGAUCCUUCAUCUCGAACUCACCACUCAACUGCGACUUUAACUUGUUGAUUUCCGACAUGUUUUUGGAAGCAAUUAACAUGUCAUCAACAUACAGCAACAAAUAAAUGUGCGAACCAUCUGAGAGCUUCCGAUGAUAGACACAAGCAUCAUAGUCACAUCUUGUGUAACCAUGCUGAAUCAUGAAGCUAUCAAACCGCUUGUACCACUGCCUUGGGGAUUGUUUCAAUCCAUAUAAAGACUUCUUUAAUAGACAGACAUGGUCUUCUUUACCAGGAACUGUAAAACCCUCUGGUUGACGCAUGUAGAUUGUUUCCUCGAGCUCACCAUGCAAGAACGCCGUUUUUACGUCAAGCUGCUCAAGUUCUAGAUCAGACUUGGCCACCAUGGCAAGUAAUACACGAAUGGAAGAAUGCUUUACAACUGGGGAGAAAACUUCAUUGUAGUCAAUCCCCUCUUUCUGAGUGAAGCCUUUAGCAACCAAUCGUGCCUUGAAUCUAGUUGCUUCAACCCCUAGGAUGCCUUCCUUUUUCUUGAAGACCCAUUUGCAACCAACUAUCUUCUGGUUACUUGGCGGCUUAACCAACUCCCAAGUAUGGUUCUUGUGAAGAGAUUCUAUCUCCUCACUCAUAGCAAUUGCCCACUGUGCCGACUCAUCACACGUGACAGCCUCAUUAUAACUGGAAGGUUCUAUACCAAUGGACUCCGCCACACUGAGCGCGAAAGACACCAGAUUAGCGUAACGCGGAUUUGGUUUGAUUUGUCUCUUCGUUCUUCCAGUGGCAAUGCUAUAUGGUUUUUCUUGAGGUGACUCAUCUUCAUCGGAAUCUUGCACCUCAACUUGAUCAUCCUGGACUGAAGUACCUUCCGUAGGAAUUGGAGCGUCCACCUGACACUCCACCUGCUUCUCAACACCGUGAUCUCCCAUUCUAUCUGACUCCUCCUUUUCCCGGGAAUUUGUGGUGGAUCGAAGCAUGGAUGACUCAUCAAAAGUCACAUCUCUGCUGAUGAUGAACUUGGACGAAACCGGAUCAGGACACCACAACCUGUAUCCUUUCACCCCUUGGCCGUAUCCAAGAAAUAUGCAUUUCUUCGCCCUCGGUUUGAGUUUUCCCUCAUUUACAUGAGCAUACGCAGGGCAGCCAAACACUCUUAAACCAGAGUAAUCAGCAGGAGAACCAGACCAUACUUCCUCAGGAGUCUUCAGCUCAAUAGCUGUUGACGGAGAUCUGUUAACCAAAUAACAAGCAGUAUUAACAGCUUCAGCCCAAAAUUCUUCACCGAGCCCAGCAUUUGAUCGCAUGCAACGAGCUCGCUCCAAGAGAGUUCUAUUCAUGCGUUCUGCAACUCCAUUUUGUUGUGGUGUUCGACGAACAGUGCGGUGUCUCACUAUUCCUUCAUUUUUGCAGAACUCAUUGAAUUCACCUGAGCAAAACUCCAAGCCAUUAUCCGUCCGGAAUCGCUUGAUCUUCUUUCCUGUUUGAUUUUCGAUCAAAGCUUUAAAUUGCUUGAAGUUGAUGAGAACCUCAUACUUGCUCUUCAGAAAAUACACCCAAACCUUUCUCGAGUAAUCAUCGAUAAAGGUAAGCAGAUAUCUGUAACCACCUUUAGAAAUUGUCGGAGAAGGCCCCCAAAGGUCAGAAUGGAAGUAAUCCACUGUGCCUUUUGUCUUGUGAAUCCCAGUGCUGAACUUUACCCGAGUCUGCUUACCGAAGACGCAGUGCUCACAGAAAUUCAACUUUCCUGUACACUGCCCAGACAAUAAUCCUCGUUUGCUUAGCACCGAUAAGCCUCUCUCGCUCAUAUGCCCGAGCCGCAUAUGCCAUAACUUCGUGGUGUCAGAAUCUAGAUCAUCUGAUGAUGACACUCCCGCAACACCUGUAACCGAGGAACCAUCGAGGAAGUAAAGGCCCCGCUCCAAAUUACCACGUAUCACAGUCAAAGCACCCGAGAAUACCUUGAGAACUCCACCUUCAGCAGAGUACCGAAAGCCUUUCUUGUCCAACGUACUCAAAGAGAUCAAAUUUUUCUUCAUUUCUGGAAUGUGCCGAACAUCAGUUAGAGUUCUAACAAUACCGUCAAACAUCUUUAUACGAACUGUGCCAAUCCCCAUGACUUGACAUGCGUGGUCAUUUCCCAUUAGUACUGAACCAGAAUGCUUCUCGUAUGUUGAGAAUGCAUCUUUCGAAGUACUUAUAUGAAAUGUAGCUCCCGUAUCAAGAAUCCAUCUCCCACCAGCGUAAGAGUCGGAUACUGCAAGAACGAUCUCGGCAUCACUUGAAGAAUCUGCAUCAGCUACAUUCGCACGAUCAUUUUGUUGCUCCUGUGAUUCUGAUUUCUCCUUCCUUUUCGGACAAUCUACCUUCAUGUGCCCGUACUUCUUACAGUAGUAGCACUGUAUUCUCUUCUUGGACUGCGAUCUAGGAUGGCUUUUACUUGAACUUCCACCCUUUGCCUUGGAUCUUCCUCGAGCAACCAAGCCUUCGCCUUCAUUGUUUUCGACCACCUUACCAGUGAUUUUCUUCCUCAACUCACUGGAACUUAAGGCAUUUUUCACCUCCUCUAGAGUCAGGUCAUCACGACCGUACAUCAUUGUAUCAACAAAAUUCUCAUACGAGGGAGGCAAAGAACACAAAACAAUUAUUGCUUGGUCCUCAUCAUCGAUUUUGUUAUCGAUAUUAUUCAAAUCCAUGAUAAUGGAAUUGAAUUUAUCCAGGUGCUGGGAAACAGGUGUACCUUCCUCCAUCUUCAGGGCAUAGAGUCUUUGCUUGAGGUAGAGCCGGUUCGUCAAUGACUUCGUCAUGUACUUGCUCUCUAACCGGAGCCACAAACCGGACGCGGUUUUCUCAUCCGCUACUUCUCGUAGCACUUCAUCUCCUAGACAUAGCAGAAUAGCACUAUGUGCUCUUUCUAGCAUGUCAUCCUUUUGCUCUUCCGAAAGCGUGCUUGGUAAUUUAUCUUUACCAGACAAUGCUUUUAGCAAUCCUUGUUGAACCAGCACUGCCCGCAUCUUGAUGCGCCAUAAACUGAAACUAUUUUUCCCGGUAAAUUUCUCGACAUCAUACUUUGUCGAUGAAACACUUGUAGCCAUAAUUUGGAACCUUUGAAUGAAUGAUAAUAUUUUCUUCCUGAUGUGAAAGAUCAGACAAAGCUGCAGUCACAGGGCAAUUCAGAAAAUAUUAUCACUCCUUCAACUACGCUCUGAUACCAAUUUGUUGCGGAAAGGAUCGAUUCGAGAACUCCGAUAUGACUACAAGUAAAUUGACCGAAACGAAAAAUAAAGUGAACACAAGGAUUUACGUGGUUCGGCUUUAAUGCCUACGUCCACGGGCAGAGGCGAAAAGAAAUUUCACUAUAACAAGAUGAAGAUUACAAGUGUUUUACACUCAAGACACAACCCGAGAACCUCACAACUCUCAACCCCUAUAGAAAACCCGAAAGCUAAAAUCCUAGCUUUCAAAGAACAAGCUUUGCUCUCUCUUGGUUUGGGAUGAUAAAUAUGGCUAAUGAACCUCUCUAUUUAUAAGAGAGUUCAAGGACAUAAUUGUCCAAAACUUUGGCAAAGAUUUGUGGUUGAAAAUGGACACCAACAACCAUCCACUAAUCCACUACCACCAACAACCCACUACCAACAACAACAAUCCACUACCAAUUUUAAGCCAUUUCUUAACAAUAUCCAACAUCCUCAUCACAAUGGAUUCUCCUCUGAUUCAUUAGUAGCCUCAACAAUGUAAUAACACGAUUAAAAGUUAUCGUAGCAGUAACUCUUAUAAAUAUUAAAAAAUUAAUUUGUAAAUACAUCGAUCAUGUCUAAAUCUAAUCUAAGUCACGGUUGAUCUAAACAUGAAAAUUCUAACCAAUUCAUCUCAAUUCAAUCCAACUAAACCUAAACUAAAUUGACACAAAAAUCUAUUUAUAUAAUUUACUUUUAAUUUAUAUAUAAUUUUAGUUAUGAUUUAAAUUUAUACAUUUAAUAUUGAACAAAUAGUCAAACUAAAGAACAUUGGCAAUUAUGAUCAAUAACUUAACACAUAGGUAAUUAAAGAAAAUACUAAUAUAUAUUUAUAUUUAUAUUUAAGCCAAAAUAAUAUAAAGCUAAAAAGUGAGAUAAUGAAGUAAAAUAUUACUAACCUUAUGCAAUAUUUGAACUCGCUAUAGUAACACUAUCCAAUGGUGUACUUGGCUCAUUAUUAAAGUUCUCACAAUUAUGAACCUCCAGUGAUGUUUCAAGAGGAAGUUGAUGGAAUGGCUUAGGAGGCAUCUCAAAGAGUUCAACAUUAGAUUCAAGUAUCUUCAAGAUUUUACUCAUUGAAGGGCGAUCAGAAGGUAGUAAUUGUAUACACCAAAAAGCAAUUAUUAUCAUCUUCUUCACCAUUACUUUUUCAUCGUUAGAAAUAUCUCCGAACUCCAAGUCUUCUCCUUGAUCCAAUCGGUCAUAAAUCCAAGAUGGAAAAUAUAUUUGACUAGUGUGGUCAGCAAAUGCAUUCACAUUCUUUCCCCUUCUAACUAUUUCCAUCAAUAACAUUCCAAAACUAUAAACAUCGGCUUUGUAUGAGAUGCCUCAAUAUAAAGUGAUGAUUUUAUAAGUUUCGUACAAUUCAUAACAUAAAUAAUGCUAACCUCUAACCUUCCAUCAUAAUAAUUACCAUGAGGAUAAAUAUAAGAAUAAGAAUAAGAAUCUACAGAAGUAAUUAAGAGGAAGAGAGUUGCAAUCAUCCGUGUCCAACAAUCAACCCCUCCCAGAGUAGGCUGUCGAGGAGCCUCCUGCACAUCAUAAAUAGCACGAGUUGUACGCCCCAAAGCAUUUGCCAAGGACCAUCAAGAUGAAGGUCAAUAACAUUUGUGUAAAUUUGGAGUGCUACCUUACAGCCAAGACUAACAGAAUAGUGACUGUUUGGAUUGAAAUGCCAAAUGAGUCAGUUCGGAGUCGGAUACAAGCAAAGUAGCAUUCGAAGCAUCCGUUGCGCAUCAUAGGAGAUAGAAGACCUUGAGUUACAUGAUUUCAUUUUGAGUAUUGAAAAUUGAAAAUAGGAUAAGUACCAACCACUAAUAUAUUAUCAGCAAAAUCUCCCAAUUGAAAGAACAAAAGAUGCAUCUAUACUAUGUUUAAAAGUUUAAUAGAGUUUAUGGUUAUCUAUCAAUGAGGUAUCAACUCAAUUGUAAAAUCAUUAAAAUCUUAUUAUUUUGUUAAAAUAAAAAUAUUAUAUUGAGAGUAUUUUAUUUUUUAUUAAACUUUAUAAAAUUCAUCCAUUUAAUAGAAUUUGAACCCAAAACAUCAUAAUCCUUAUUACCUAAAUUUUACCAUAUUAAACAAAGCCACAUUUAGCUUUUAUAUCAUUUUUUAAAUAAGCUUGUUAUAUCAUUUUUUUUCACCCAUGUGAGGGUGCCAUAAUCUAAUAUAUCUUUAUUUAAUAAGUAAUAAUCCCAUAUGCAUUAGAGAGUAUUAAGUUGAGUUAUUAAAUUUAGGGUUUGUUAUAUUCUAACGACUAAUUUUCAAUUCCAUUGAAAUGAUUUAUAGGUGAUAAAUUUUACAAUUUAAUACGAUUAAUUUUAUUAUAUUACAAUGAAAAACAAAAGAAAAAGAAGAAUUUAAUAUGGUUCAAAGUUUUUAAAUAAAUCUGGACCAUAUACUUGUAGACAAACCUUUACCAUUAAUCUAUUCCAACUUCAAUGAGAACGACCAAGACAAUGCAAGUCUCAAUAGUCCUGUUUGAAACGCAAAAGCAUUCAAGUGGUUGAGAGCAGCAAGCCUGAUCCCUUUUGUCCUUUUGUGUUAUGUAAGUCAAUUGUAGAGAACGAUUGUUGGAUAUUUCUAAAACGUAAGUUAAUAGUUAGAACCCUUGAGCAACGCACAUUCCACCCCAACCCAUGCAUAACGUUAGACAAGACUCAAUGACUAAUUGUAUAUAUUUUUAAUUUUAUUCAACAACUACAUAAGUAUAUUUUUAAAUGAUUGUUAAUAUAAUUACAUGUAUUUUCAUCUAUUUUAUAUGAAUUUAAAAUAUUACAAAUUAAAUAUAAUAUAAGAUAUAAGUUCUAUUCAAUUAAAUUUAAAUUUAAAUUCAAAUUUUAAAUUAUCCAACAAUAUAAAUAGUAGACAUAAAUUCAAAGAAAAAAAUUUGGGGUUUAGCUGGAAAAUUACCUCUCAAAUUCCACUAAAAUAAAUAAAUAGAGUUUAACUCGAAGAUUACCUCUCAAAUUUAACUGAAAUAUGAAACAUACUCAAUAAUAAAGGUAUCAAUUCAAAGGUAUAAAGCUACAUAAAUUCUUAGUUAUGUCUUUGAAAUAUUUUCAUAAAGGCACGUGCAAAAACUUUUUGAUUCUAAACAAAUUCAUUGUCUCAACAUUACUUGUCGAAACCGUUUUUUGAAAACAAAGAUCUAGUUGUCGACUUUAAAAAUAAAACAGCAGUCGCCACCGAUCCUUUAUUAAGGUGUGAUCGGCUCACCUUUAAAAAUUAUUUUGGUCUACGAAUUUUGAGAAAACGAGUUCGGGAGUCAGUUACGCACGAGGAAGGGUUAGCACCCUCGUAACGCCCAAAAUCGGUACCAAAUUGGUUAUUUGAUGUCUUAGUGUCGAAGGUUAAAAAGAUUUUUAAAAUAAACUCAAUUGAUGGAAUUUGAAAAAGGAUAAUCAAUUGUUCAAGUCAUGUAAAGAAAUCGAGUCCCAAUACGUUAGGGUACAAUUCCUCAUAAUCCCCGAACUUUGAAUAUCACUUUAUUUUAUGUGAAAAUCUUCCUUUUGAGAAAGUAACAUGCCACACCAAAUACGUUAGGACACGACAUGUUAAGUUCCAAAAAAUGAUUUUUAUACUCAUGCAUUUUGAAUAAAGAAUAUUCUCGGUUAUUUUAGAUUGACAAAGAAAAUCGGAACCCAAUACGUUAGGGCUCAAUUCCCUCGAAAAUCCCAAACUUCGAAUAUUGCUUUUAUUCAAAAAAAAACUUUGAAUCAAGAGAAUAAUUUCAAUGUUUUGUCAAAAACCAAAAUAUAUCUUCUUGUUCAAAAGGAAAUGACAUAAUGUUAAUAGACAACAUGGAAUACAUACAUUAAUUUAAAUUAUACAUGUACAUGUAUUAUGAAAUGUCAAUGCAUAUAUAUACAUGUAUGCAAAAAGUUAUGGAAAUAAAAUAAUAAAAUAUAUAAAAUAUGGACAUGUAUUUACCAAAUAUGUAUAUAUAUACACACAUAUAUUUAUGAAAAAUAAAAACGUAUUUAGAGUCAUACAGAUAUAUAUAAAUCAUUAAAUAUAUGGAAAAAAAUGAAAAUAUGUAUAUAAAAGAUGUAUGUAUAUAGGUAUAUAUUUACAAAAUAAAAAAAAUGUAUAAGUAUACACGUAUUGGUAAAUCAUGAAAAUACAUAUAUGUAUAUUAAAAUACUUAUAUAUAUGUACAAUAUAUGUAUAAAUAAUGGAGUAUAUAUAGAAUAAUAAAAUAUUUAUAAUAACUCAAAAAUACAAAAAAAAUGUAUAUAUAUAAUAUAAAAAAUGUGUAUUUUGAAUUGUAAAAUAUGAGAAACAUGUGUGGAUUUUAAAAUGUAUAUGUAUACAUACAUAUAUAUAUGUUUGUAAAAAAAAUAAAAAUUAUGAAGAAUAAUAUAAAAACAUACAUAUACACGUAUUUACAAAAGUAAAAAAAAAUUUGAAGCUGAAAUAUAAAAGUAUAUAUAUAACUGUCAUUGAAGGGCGAUCAGAAGGUAGUAAUUGUAUACACCAAAAAGCAAUUAUUAUCAUCUUCUUUACCAUUACUUUUUCAUCGUCAGAAAUACCUCCGAACUCCAAGUCCUCUCCUUGAUCCAAUUGGUCAUAAAUCCAAGAUGGAAAAUAUAUUUGACUAGUGUGGUCAGCAAAUGCAUUCACAUUCUUUCUCCUUCCAACAAUUUCCAUCAAUACAUUCCAAAACUAUAAACAUCAGCUUUGUAUGAGAUGCCUCAAUGUAAAGCGAUGAUUUUAUAGGUUUCGUGCAAUUCAUAACAUAAAUAAUGCUAACCUCUAACCUUCUAUCAUAAUAAUUACCAUAAGGAUAAAUAUAAGAAUAAGAAAAGAAUCUACAAAAGUAACUAAGAGGAAGGGAGUUGCAAUCAUCCGUGUCCAACAAUCAACCCCUCCCAGAGUAGGCUGUCGAGGAGCCUCCUGCACAUCAUAAAUAGCACGAGUUGUACGCCCCAAAGCAUUUGCCAAGGACCAUCAAGAUGAAGGUCAAUAACAUUUGUGUAAAUUUGGAGUGCUACCUUACAGCCAAAACUAACAGAAUAGUGACUGUUUGGAUUGAAAUGCCAAUUAUGAGUCAGUUCGGAGUCGGAUACAAGCAAAGUAGCAUUCGAAGCAUCCGUUGCGCAUCUUAGGAGAUAGAAGACCUUGAGUUACAUGAUUUCAUUUUGAGUAUUGAAAAUUGAAAAUAGGAUAAGUACCAACCACUAAUAUAUUAUCAGCAAAAUCUCCCAAUUGAAAGAACAAAAGAUGCAUCUAUACUAUGUUUAAAAGUUUAAUAGAGUUUAUGGUUAUCUAUCAAUGAGGUAUCAACUCAAUUGUAAAAUCAUUAAAAUCUUAUUAUUUUUAAAAACAAAAAAAAUUAUAUUGAGAGUAUUUUUAUUUUUUAUUAAACUUUAUAAAAUACAUCAAUUUAAUAGAAUUUGAACCCAAAACAUCAUAAUCCUUGUACAGACCCAAUUUCUGCCCGGCCCACUAACAAAAAGAACCCAAUACCCACAAACCCAAUAACCCACCUAAACACUAACCCAUACCAGCAGACCCAAUUACCAGGCCCAGUGGCCCAAAAUUUUAAAAUCAUUUCAGAAACCCUAAUCCCCUUAACCCUAGCCGCCUCUUCUGAUCUUUCUGCUACUACUGCCGCCAUCACCUACCCUCUGCCACCGCCACUGUUUCGCCCACUUGCACCACCUGCUCCACCUGCAAAACAAAGGAGAACACGCAAACAAAGAAGGACAAAACAGUAGAAACAAUAAUAAAAUAAAUUGUGUAAAAAUGGCUAUAUAAAGGCCAUUCAAACGAAUUGUAAGGGGUUCGGCCCCUCUUUCACUAUUUCAAGAAAUAAAAAGGGCAAAGAAAACGGAUUCAAGAAAUUUUUCUUUUGGUAUAAACUCUAUUUUCUUUUAUUUAUAUUUUUCUCUUUAUUUUUCUUCCAUCCGAAACUGUUUGAUCCUUUAUUCUUAUUUUUAUUUUUCUUUUAUUUUUAAAAACAUAUAUAUAUAAAUAUAAUAUAUAGAUUUUAAAAUAAAAAAUAAUACCUUUUUUGAAUUUUUUGGCCACCAUACACGGUGGCCGGCGCGACGACGGAGCGGCGGCGACGUGGUGGCCAAGUUCGUCGGAUUCUGGGCAGUGCUGGAGAGGGGGAGAGAAUAUUUUUGAGAAGAAGAGUUUUUUUUUUUUAAGGAAAGCUGAAAAUGAUUUUUUUGGGGGGAAACCUUGACUUUUAUAGGCCCCCCAAAACGACGUCGUUUUGGGCAAGCCUCUUAGGUACCAAAACGGCGCCGUUUUAAGGCCGGCCUGAAAACCGACCCGACCCGCCUGAAGGAUCCGCGUGUUUUCGACGGAAGGGAUAAUUGCGUUUUCAGGCCUUCCGCUUUUAAAUAAUUUUGCAAUCAAGUUCUUUCCUUUUUUUAAAAUUCGCCCUAUAUUUUAUUUUCAUUCACAAUCUGGUCCACUUUGAAAUGCAGUGUUUUGGAGGGUGGGGAUUAUUUCCAUUUUGGUCCCCCUCUUUCCGAGCGUGUCACAAUUUAGUCUUUUCAGUCUUUUUUAUUUGAAAUUCGCUCAGUAUUUUUAUUUUUACUUCGAUUUAGUCCCUUUUUUAGUAGUAUUAUUAUUAUUAUUAUUAAUUAUUGCUAGUUUUAUUUUCCUUAAACCUAUUCGUCACUGCUUUGAUUAGUAUGUUAACUUGUUUCAUUAUUAUUAUAGCUUUCUUUUUUAUAAUAUAUGUACAUAUACCUAUGAAUAUUUUAUAUAUAUAUAUGCAUACAUAAUUAUAUACAUAUAUAUACCUUAUAAUAUUAAUGCGUACAUAGUUUUAUUUAUUAAAUAUUUUUAUACUCUAUAUUUUUAUACACUUGUAUAUAUACAAACAUCUAUGUUUCAAUUCAUAUAAAUAUAUGUACGUAUACAUAGUUAUGUGCUUUAUGUACCUAUUAUAAUUUGUUUACAUGUUUAUAUAUAUCUAUACAUAUAUUUUUAUAUUUCGUGAUAGUUAUAUGUACACAUAUACAUGUAAAUACUUAUAUUUUAUGCCUCAUAAUAUAUAUAUUUUCAUAUUUUCAUAUUUUAUGAUUUUCAUCUAUUUUCCUUUAUUGUUAUUGUAAUUUUCAUGUGUAUUUGUUUAUUUAUUUAUAUGUCUAUUUUUUUAUGUUUUAGUUUUUUUUAUUUGUUAUGAUAUAUGCACAAUUAAUUUAGUUUAUUAUUUGUUUUGUUUUUUUUUAUUCACACAAUCAUGUUCAAUAUUUCAUUAUGCAUAUAAAUAUCAUAUUUCAAAAGGAAAAAUAUUUCUAAAUGAGGCAAUGUUUUGCGUUUGGAAGUUCGAGAAAACAUGCCCUAAGGUGCUGGGUGUCGAUUUUUCUUGUUCAACCAAAUAGCUUAAUAUCCUUUUAAAUUUUUAAAAUAAGGCAAUGUUUUGCGUUUGGAAAUUCGAGAAAACAUGCCCUAAGGUGCUGGGUGUUGAUUUUUCUCGUUCAACCAAAUGGCUUAAUAUCCUUUUAAAAUUUUUAAAAUAAGGCAAUGUUUUACGUUUGGAAAUUCGAAAAAACAUGCCCUAAGGUGCUGGGUGUCGAUUUUUCUCGUUCAACCAAAUAGCUAAACAUCCUCUUGAAUUUAAAUUCAUGCCAUUCGAGUUUUUAGGAUCGUAUUUUAAAUUUCUUUGAAGUUUUCAGUUUUUCGACACUAAGACAUUAAGUAAUCAACUAGGUACCAAUUUUGGGCGUAUCGAGGUUGCUAAUCCUUCCUCGUGCGUAAUCGACUCCCGAACCCGUUUUUCUGAAUUUCGUGGACCAAACUUGUUGUUUUAAUAAAAUCAAAUUGUUUAUUAAAAACAACCACUUUUUGAGGUGAUCCGAUCACACCUCAACAAAAAGGAUCGGUGGCGACUCCCGUUUUCGUUCUCAUUUUUCAAAACCCAAGUCGACCCCAUUUUCCAUCCAAAAAAAUGGUGUCAACAGCUUGGCGACUCCACUGGGGACUUUAAAUAAGAGAGUCAAGCCACGAGUUGAUUAUUUCUUGUCUUUUUUGUCGAAAGUUGAAAAUUUGAUUUAAAUAUACGAUCCUCUCAUUGCAUUCCAUUUGUUUUGAGUUAUAGUUUUCAUUAUGUUUUGUAUUUUAAAUUUUUAUAUCUUUCUGCACAUUGCAUUGCAUGACCGUUAGUCACACCUUUUAAGUGGGAGUGAGAAGCUACUCCUUCGUGAGGUUUUCACCUCCGUACAGGAUAGUGGAUCGCUUUCGGGAUACAUCCGUACCUGUGUCUUCGUGAGAUUUUCAUCUCCGUGCAGCCAUAGGGAAAUGUAUUCCCCUGAAUUGAACUCGGUCUGUAUGAGCCUAUAAUGGGUGAAGAUCGAGGAAUAUGCUGGUUCGGGUACCUUAUCUUUAGAACCAACCCACAUAUAGUGGACUUAGGAACUUAACCUAGGUAGAGCCACUCCAAAUCCCUAGUAUUUACCUGAUUAGGUUUUUUUUUUGUUUUCCGUGCUUGCUUAUGUUUUGUUCUAACCCUUCUUGUUGUGUUUUGAUUAUGAUUGCAUUACAUUGCAUUUGCAUCUUAGGAAAGAGAUAUUGAUUCAAGUUCGAUUACUAAAUUAGAAAGCUUGUCAUGGAAUACGGAUUCCUUGAUAAAGUGGAAAACAAUACGACUGCCCGAAUAUAUUCUGAGAAACACAAGAAUGGCGAUGUAAGAGUUUGUGAUCCUACUUCGUGGCCUAAGGAUUCAAGGAAAUUGUCUAAGAGCCUUCAACAUUCCACUCACUUAAAGAAGCUGACGAGCCUUAUGAAGAUGGGCAGAUGAUGGAUCACGACCAAGAUCAAGAAAAUGAGCUAGCAGUGACAUUUAUUGAAAAUUGGCGAGAUUACCUUAAACAUGCGGAUAAAGAAAAAAGGACCGAUGUUUCUUGGAAUAUGACGGUGAGGCCGUACAUAUAUCCGUUUUAUGUAAGGGAAUUUGUUUUCUAGAAAAGUUUCCUAAAUGUAAUUGAAUCAGAAUCAACGUCUCUUUAGGCAUUCAUUUCAUGCAUUUGCAUUACAUUGCAUUACAUGCAUUGAAAGAGUCUAAACGAGUAAAUUUAUUUCAGCUAACCUGGAAAACCAACCAACCAAACAAAGACUAGAGAAAUGGAACGAAGGUUGGAAAAAUUAGAGCGAAUGCAGAUUCAGAUGCAGGAGCAAUUAACUGAAUUUCAACAGGAGACGAGAGAUCAGAUGCUAGAAUUACGGAGAACUAUGAUAAACCAGUUUAACCGAUUGCUAGCUGGAAAGUCAAAAGAAGUGAAAGACCCGGUGGUUUACUUUGGGGUUGAUAAUGAGGAUCUUGUCUAUUCCUUAGAUUGUACUCCGACAAGUGUCCAGGUUCAGCUAGAUGGGCGUCCACAAUGAGCACUUUUUACUGUCGGAUCCCAAUAUUAUCAGACUGGUACAUCGACACCAGUGAAUUGCCUGACAGGCUUAGAAUCCAAUUUGAGGAAUGAUUUAGCUAGUCCUGUUGCUAAUCUAGCCGAAAUAAAGAAGAUGAGGAUAGAAUACCCAGAUACUAAAAAGGCACUAGGGAAGAAGGCGAAUAAAGAGGAUAAUGCAGGCAGAUAUAACAAGGGCCACUCAAAACCAAUCACUACAGGCCGGCCAAAGACAGAAACCACCAGACAUCGGAAUCCUUUAAAGCAAGAAUCUGGAGCGAAACCAGGUACUGAGAAGCUCCAGUUCAUACCAAUUCUGAUGUCAUAUAGUGAGUUAUACCGAAGCUUAUUUGAUGCACGUGUGGUGUCCCCCUUCUACUUAAAACCCAUACAGCCUCCGUAUCCCAAAUGGUAUGACACGAACGUAUAAUGCGACUACCAUGCGAGAAUUACGGGGCAUUCAAUAGAGAACUGCAUUGCCUUUAAGAAACUGGUUGAAAAGCUCAUUAAUAUGGGGGUUGUCAGAUUUGAUGACUCGUCUAGCGCAGAAAAUCUACUACCUAGCCAUAUUGAUAAUGGGGUAGACAUGAAGGUAGGAAGGGGAUCAGUUAUUUCUGAUUCAGGAGGAAAUAAGGGAAAGACACGGAACCAUUGCGAUUUCCAUCAUGAGAGAGGGUUCGAGACCCAAGAGAGUGUGGAAUUCAAGGCCUUGGUUCAGGACAUGAUGGACGAUAAGGGGAUGAAGCUUCGUGAGGAAAUUAAAGAGGAGGAAAACAUACGUUCAAUGUUGGCAAGCGUUCACACCAAUGACAUAUUUGAAGACACGAAUGAAAAGGAACCUUGUUAGAUAUCUGCCCUUAUAAAUCUGGAGUGUUCUAAGCAACUGGGCUGCGAAAAAAAUCCCUUUAGUUUUUAGGGCUUAUCUAGAGUAAUGUUCAGAACAUUUUGUUGUUUUAGCCUAAAGCGAUAUAAAUUCCUUUGUGAAAUAGGUUAAUGUAUGAACGUUAUUAUUCUAAUAAAAUACAUCUUUGCAUUCCUUUUUGAGCUAAUAUUCUUUCAUUUAUUUUGAAUAAUUAUUUCUGAUUCUUUCAUUCUUUUGAAUUUUCUUCCAAACCAUCAUUCAUUCAUUCAUUCAUAAUUAUAUGAUACAAAUAAUUAUUCAUGAAUCUAUACAUUCUUUUGUAUAUUCUUUGGUACUUGCUAUGGGUCCCCGGAUAUCAAUUACGUGAAUGACUGCUACAGACCCAGAUUUUCCUUUUGAGUGAGGCAUGUGUUCAGAGGGAUCUCAAUGCUUUGAAAAUGAUAAAGAUUGUAGUUUAUCUCCUAACUUGUUAAGGAUGGUUGAACAAGAGGAUAGACAGAUCCUACCUCACAAGGAAUCAUCAGAAAUUGUGAGCUUAGCGAGGAUUAGAAUUGACCUGAUCGCAGAGACGAAGCAACACCUUGUUGAGGCACCUCUAGAUUUCGAAGAGAUCUUUGUAGGAUCAUACCAGGAUAUGCCUGGGUUAAAUGCCGAUAAUGAAAUCUGCACAACAGCACGAUGUCAGAAAUUUACAGUAUGAAUGAUGUAAUUCUUUACCGGGGCAAUGUCUUUCUCGUGGAGUCAGCAUAGUUUUGCCCAUUUGAAGUUGAAUUUCCGUCUCUUCAAGUUGUUGUUGGGUCCAUCCUGAUUAAAGAGGAAGAUCCAAAGUUUUUUGUCGAAGUUGCAUCCCAAAAGGCUCAGAUCAAAAAAGUGAAGAAAAAGAAAAAUCAAAAUCAAAGUCAAAAUGAAAAUGAAAAUGAAAAUGAAAAUGAAAAUGAAAAUGAAAAAAUCAAAAAUCAAAAUAAAAAAAACAAAAAGAAGAAAGAAGAAAAAAAUCAAAAUCAAGAUCAAAAUAAAAAUGAGAAAAAGAAAGAAGAAUGAAAAAGGAGAAAUCUAGAUGAAAAAAUCAGAAUGAAAAAGAAAAGAAAAAAGAAAAGGAGAGGCUAAAGCGAAAACUCGCAAAGGGCGCUUUGUGACCAAAUGAGGUUUUGAAUUGAAAACCCGAAAAGGGCGACUCAAAUUUCGAGCACAAUGAGGCAUGAACAUCACCAUUAUCAGAGACUUCUAAUGGGCAUUGCUUCAUUUUGAGAGGCUACUUCAUGAGCCAAAGUCAUCGUAUACCGAUACAGAAUUUCAGAGAAGAGGUUAUUGGAGAAUGCAUUGAGCUUAAACAAUAGCACGAUCGCUGAGGUCUCAAAUUAACUCAGAAGUGGACACCACGAUUCGUCACUGAAUUGCCUAGAAUUGAACAUCGAAAAUUGAAGGAAAAUGACUGAGACUUAGGGUCUGUUUGAUUGCCAGUAAAAUGUUUUCCGUAAAAUGAUUUCUGGAAAAUGGUUUACUUUUCUGUAAAAUGAUUUACUGGAAAAUAUUUUCUGGUGUUUGACUGAAUCUGUGUAAAAUAUUUUUUGCUGUUUGGCAGAUUUUCUGAAAAUAUUUUCGAAAAAGUUGUUUUUACAUAUAUUAAUAUAUAUUAAUAAUUUUUUAUAUUUUAAAUUAUUUUUACAUAUAUUGCAAUGAUUUAUUUAUAAUAAUACUCAAUUAUUAAGCUACAAUAUUAGUCGUUAUAAAUUGAAAAAAACUAAUAUCAAAUAAAUUAUUUGUAAUUGUGUUAAAAAAACAAGUAUUGAAUAAUUAAAAAAACAAGUUAUUGGAAAAUCGAUAAACAGAAGCAGUUUUCUACCGGAAAUGAAGGAAGGAAUGAAGGAAGCGAUAAAGAGGAGAGCACGGAAAAUGUCUUACGGAAAUUGAAAGGGUAAGACAUUUUCCCUAAAAUGUAACCCAUUUUCCCUUGUUUUGGAGUUCAUUUUCCAAAUGGAAAAUGUUUUCCGCCAAUCAAACGCUGAAAAAGUUGAAAAUGAUUUUCCGGAAAAUCAAUUCCGUCAAUCAAACAGACCCUUACAAGGAUUGGCAUGAGAAAUUACUAUUUGCCUUCCUUGCUUGUCGAACAUCUGUACCGGGGCAAUACCUUUCUCUUUGGUUUGCGGGGUUUAGGUAGUUUUACCUAUUGAAAUCCUUUCUCUCCAGGUAUUAUUUGAGCUAGAAUUGGAUGAAGCAGAAUGGAUCCAAUCGCGAUGAGAUCAGUUGAACCUAGAAAAAAGGUUAAAAGCUAUUCUUCAGGGUCGGAUGUACCGGAAACAAGUGAUACGAGCCCAUAAUGAACAGUGUCAUAUCAGAGAAUUCCACGAGAGGGUUGGAUGUCGAAAAAGAUCAUUCCUCUCUAAAAAUGAUUCCAGAGGGAAAUAAAUGCCAAACCGGGAAUGUCCCUACGUUGUAAAGAAGACAUUCUUCAGAAGAGCACUGAUCUUGAGUAAGAUUGCUAGUCCUAUAAACUCGGAUCCAGUCAAGAAAUACUUCGUUUAAAGAAUGAGGAAGGACCAAGGUGAAAACCCGCAAAGGGCACUCUAAGUCAAAAAAAAUGAAAUGAAAAAUGAGAAUGAAAAAUAAAAAAUAAAAAAUAGAGAGGCUAAGGGGAAAACCCGGAAAGGGCGCCUUAGGCCAAAGGGGAUUUGAGUUGAAAACCUGAAAAUGGCGGCUCAAAUAUUUGUUCAGAAUGGGGCAUGAGGCGAUCAGAGCGAUUCGAAUUUUGAUCAUAUUGGGGCAUGUGGUGAUCUUGCUAUGCCUGAAUCAACAGGAAAGGAUAGACGACAUCUUGGGGCAUCGACAGAGCACUGUAGAUCUCCUAAACACAUGUCCAACUCAAAAUGGUCUUCAGAAAGUUUGUACAGAGAAGUUCAAGUAGCGAUAUCUGGAGCACCCAAUCCUCACAUUAUUUGUUAUUCUUGGAAUAUUUUUUCUUUCCAAGAUAUACAUCCCCAAUUAAUUUCUUCGUCAUCCUUCUUUACAAUUUUUGGUAAUUUAUUCCUUUUGAGCUAUGCUCAGAAUCAAUUUUAUUCUUAUCCAUUGUUAUGACCCUUUUUGCAAAGCAUGUUGCAUUAGAAUAAUGAUUAAUGGACUAAUAAUACUUUCACAAUGGAAGUUUUGCAUAUUACUCUAGAAGUUUCUAAAUAAUAUAGGAGCCUAAAGCAGUACUAUUGUUUAGAACACACCAAUUUUUAAAGGUUGGAAAUUUGAGAAGGAAUAGUCUAAAUUUAGACUUUCUCUUUGGAUUUUUGUUUUCAAGUGCACUGAAUGAACAAAAUGACAAGAUGCCAUGUCAAUGGCAAAGCUUAAACGAACAAACAAGCAAUGAUCAUCAGGCAAUAGGAAGAGGUUACCUCGGAGAAGAGAGCCUUCAUUUGUGCAUGAGCAUUUGGUAUGACACCUUGGGGAUGAGGUAAAGGACCAAAGAGUUUCACAUUCAAUAUCAUUGAAUUGCGAUAGGAGAAGAUUGAGAAAGGCCAUACAUUUCUACCCUUUGGUUAUAGUGGGAGAUUGAUGGUGCAAAUUUUAUGUCCCAGUGGAUUGAACUUUGACGUUCAUAGUGGGGGGCAAUCAGAUUAAGUGAUCCUUUGGAUAUGCUAGCCGAGCAAGAAGGUGGUAUAGCACGUCAGUAAUAAAGCCUUAAUAUGCUUUUGUGUGAUGAUAACCUAAGCAUUAAGGAAUCAUUUUCAUGACAUUUUGCAUGUCAUUCAUACACAUCUAGUUAGGAGCAUUUGAUUCGUUCUGAUCAUGUCAUCCUAAUCUCUAGGCACAAUUAGGUUCAUAAAAUAGAACAUACAGGUCAUGUUCCCUAGAGAACAAAUCAGUGAACAUCGAAAACAAAGCCUUGCCUUCAUUGGUUACAGUGAAGCUGGUUAAAGAAGCAGAUCUUGCCUUCCAGCAUUAACAGCGAAGCAGAUCGAAAACAAAUCAUUGCCUUCAUUGGUUACAGUGGAGCUGGUUAAAGAAGCAGAUCUUGCCUUCCUGCGUUAACAACGAAGCAGAUCGAAAACAAUCCUUGCUUCAUUGGUUACAGUGGAGCUGGUUAAAGAAGCAGAUCUUGCCUUCCUACGUUAACAACGAAGCAGAUCGAAAACAAGCCUUGCCUUCAUUGGUUGCAGUGGAGCUGGUUAAAGAAGCAGAUCUUAUCUUCCUACAUUGACAGCGAAGUAGAUCGAGGACACAAGCCUUGCCUCCCUUAGUUGUAGGGGAGCAGAUCAAAGACAGCAAAUCUUAUCUUCAAGUGUAAGGAAGCGGAUUUAAGCCACAAGUCCUAUGUCCCUGACCAGCAGUGGAAUAGGUUGGAAAUUUCAGAUCUUAUCUCCCUGAGGUUACAGCGGAGCAGAUCGAAGACAUAAUCCUAUCUCCCUGAAGUUACAGUGGAGCGGAUUAAAAUAAAGGAUCUUAUCUCUCUGAAGUUACAGUAGAGUAGAUCGCAUCAGGUCUUAUUUCCCUGAGGUUACAGCGGAGUAGACCGAAAAAUUUCAGAUCUUAUCUCCCUGAGGUUACAGCGGAGCAGAUCGAAGACAUAAUCCUAUCUCCCUGAAGUUACAGUGGAGCGGAUUAAAAUAAAGGAUCUUAUCUCUCUGAAGUUACAGUAGAGUAGAUCGCAUCAGGUCUUAUCUCCUUGAGGUUACAGCGAAGUAGACCGAAGAAUUGCAGAUCUUAUCUCCCUGAGGUUACAGCGGAGCAGAUCGAAGAUAUAAUCCUAUCUCCCUGAAGUUACAGUGGAGCGGAUUAAAAUAAAGGAUCUUAUCUCUCUGAAGUUACAGUAGAGUAGAUCGCAUCAGGUAUUAUUUCCCUGAGGUUACAGCGGAGUAGACCGAAGAAUUGCAGAUCUUAUCUCCCUGAGGUUACAGCAGAGCAGAUUAAAGACAUAAUCCUAUCUCCCUAAAGUUACAGUGGAGCGGAUUAAAAUAAAGGAUCUUAUCUCUCUGAAGUUACAGUAGAGUAGAUCGCAUCAGGUCUUAUUUCCCUGAGGUUACAGCGGAGUAGACUGGAGAAUUGCAGAUCUUAUCUCCCUGAGGUUACAGCGGAGCAGAUUAAAGACAUAAUCCUAUCUCCCUGAAGUUACAGUGGAGCGGAUUAAAAUAAAGGAUCUUAUCUCUCUGAAGUUACAGUAGAGUAGAUCGCAUCAGGUCUUAUUUUCCUGAGGUUACAGCGGAGUAGACCGAAGAAUUGCAGAUCUUAUCUCCCUGAGGUUACAGCGGAGCAGAUUAAAGACAUAAUCCUAUCUCCCUGAAGUUACAGUGGAGCGGAUUAAAAUAAAGAAUCUUAUCUCUCUGAAGUGGCAGUAGAGUAGAUUACGUCCAAGUCAAAUCUCCCUGAAGUUGCAGUGGAGUAAGUUAAAAUCCCAAACCUCACCCCCUGAAGGUACAACAGAGUGGAUUGAAGCUACAAGUCUUGUCUUUUUGAAGUUGCAGCGGAAUGGAUAGAAGCAACAAUGUACAGUGGACUGGAGUGAAGCUACUUGAAGAGAAGCGUCAAGAGAAGUCAAGACUCGGCGAAACCGGGCAAAAAAUUGGUCUUUCUUAGUCUUUGCUCUGUUAUCGUUACACGACAAUGAGCAAAGAGGGGCAGCUGUACAAACCCAAUUUCUGCCCGGCCCACUAACAAAAAGAACCCAAUACCCACAAACCCAAUAACCCACCUAAACACUAACCCAUACCAGCAGACCCAAUUACAAGGCCCAGUGGCCCAAAAUUUUAAAAUCAUUUCAGAAACCCUAAUCCCCCUAACCCUAGCCGCCUCUUCUGAUCUUUCUGCUACUACUGCCGCCAUCACCUACCCUCUGCCACCGCCACUGUUUCGCCCACUUGCACCACUUGCUCCACCUGCAAAACAAAGGAGAACACGCAAGCAAAGAAGGACAAAACAGUAGAAACAAUAAUAAAAUAAAUUGUGUAAAAAUGGCUAUAUAAAGGCCAUUCAAAUGAAUUGUAAGGGGUUCGGCCCCUCUUUCACUAUUUCAAGAAAUAAAAAGGGCAAAGAAAACGGAUUCAAGAAAUUUUUCUUUUGGUAUAAACUCUAUUUUCUUUUAUUUAUAUUUUUCUCUUUAUUUUUCUUCCAUCCGAAACUGUUUGAUCCUUUAUUCUUAUUUUUAUUUUUCUUUUAUUUUUAAAAACAUAUAUAUAUAAAUAUAAUAUAUAGAUUUUAAAAUAAAAAAUAAUACCUUUUUUGAAUUUUCCGGCCACCGUACACGGUGGCCGGCGCGACGACGGAGCGGCGGUGACGUGGUGGCCAAGUUCGUCGGAUUCUGGGCAGUGCUGGAGAGGGGGAGAGAAUAUUUUUGAGAAGAAGAGUUUUUUUUUUUAAUGAAAGCUGAAAAUGAUUUUUUUUGGGGGAAACCUUGACUUUUAUAGGCCCCCCAAAACGACGUCGUUUUGGGAAAGCCUCUUAGGUACCAAAACGGUGCCGUUUUAAGGCCGGCCCGAAAACCGACCCGACCCGCCUGAAGGAUCCGCGUGUUUUUGACGAAAGGGAUAAUUGCGUUUUCAGGCCUUCCGCUUUUAAAUAAUUUUGCAAUCAAGUUCUUUCCUUUUUUUAAAAUUCGCCCUAUAUUUUAUUUUCAUUCACAAUCUGGUCCACUUUGAAAUGCAGUGUUUUGGAGGGUGGGAUUAUUUCCAUUUUGGUCCCCCUCUUUCCGCGCGUGUCACAAUUUAGUCUUUUCAGUCUUUUUUAUUUGAAAUUCGCUCAGUAUUUUUAUUUUUACUUCGAUUUAGUCCCUUUUUUAGUAUUAUUAUUAUUAUUAUUAAUUAUUGCUAGUUUUAUUUUCCUUAAACCUAUUCGUCACUGCUUUGAUUAGUAUGUUAACUUGUUUCAUUAUUAUUAUAGCUUUCUUUUUUAUAAUAUAUGUACAUAUACCUAUGAAUAUUUUAUAUAUAUAUAUGCAUACAUAAUUAUAUACAUAUAUAUACCUUAUAAUAUUAAUGCGUACAUAGUUUUAUUUAUUAAAUAUUUUUAUACUCUAUAUUUUUAUACACUUGUAUAUAUACAAACAUCUAUGUUUCAAUUCAUAUAAAUAUAUGUACGUAUACAUAGUUAUGUGCUUUAUGUACCUAUUAUAAUUUGUUUACAUGUUUAUAUAUAUCUAUACAUAUAUUUUUAUAUUUCGUGAUAGUUAUAUGUACACAUAUACAUGUAAAUACUUAUAUUUUAUGCCUCAUAAUAUAUAUAUUUUCAUAUUUUCAUAUUUUAUGAUUUUCAUCUAUUUUCCUUUAUUGUUAUUGUAAUUUUCAUGUGUAUUUGUUUAUUUAUUUAUAUGUCUAUUUUUUUAUGUUUUAGUUUUUUUUAUUUGUUAUGAUAUAUGCACAAUUAAUUUAGUUUAUUAUUUGUUUUGUUUUUUUUUAUUCACACAAUCAUGUUCAAUAUUUCAUUAUGCAUAUAAAUAUCAUAUUUCAAAAGGAAAAAUAUUUCUAAAUGAGGCAAUGUUUUGCGUUUGGAAGUUCGAGAAAACAUGCCCUAAGGUGCUGGGUGUCGAUUUUUCUCGUUCAACCAAAUAGCUUAAUAUCCUUUUAAAUUUUUAAAAUAAGGCAAUGUUUUGCGUUUGGAAAUUCGAGAAAACAUGCCCUAAGGUGCUGGGUGUUGAUUUUUCUCGUUCAACCAAAUGGCUUAAUAUCCUUUUAAAAUUUUUAAAAUAAGGCAAUGUUUUAUGUUUGGAAAUUCGAAAAAACAUGCCCUAAGGUGCUGGGUGUCGAUUUUUCUCGUUCAACCAAAUAGCUAAACAUCCUCUUGAAUUUAAAUUCAUGCCAUUCGAGUUUUUAGGAUCGUAUUUUAAAUUUCUUUGAAGUUUUCAGUUUUUCGACACUAAGACAUUAAGUAAUCAACUAGGUACCAAUUUUGGGCGUAUCGAGGGUGCUAAUCCUUCCUCGUGCGUAAUCGACUCCCGAACCCGUUUUUCUGAAUUUCGUGGACCAAACUUGUUGUUUUAAUAAAAUCAAAUCGUUUAUUAAAAACAACCACUUUUUGAGGUGAUCCGAUCACACCUCAUCAAAAAGGAUCGGUGGCGACUCCCGUUUUCGUUCUCAUUUUUCAAAACCCAAGUCGACCCCGUUUUCCAUCCAAAAAAAUGGUGUCAACAAUCCUUAUUACCUAAAUUUUACCAUACCAAACAAAGCCACAUUUAGCUUUUAUAUCAUUUUUUAAAUAAUCUAAUAUAUCUUUAUUUAAUAAGUAAUAAUCCCAUAUGCAUUAGAGAGAGUAUUAAGUUGAGUUAUUAAAUUUAGGGUUUGUUAUAUUCUAACGGGUUAUUUUCAAUUCCAUUGAAAUGAUUUAUAGGUGAUAACUUUUACAAUUUAAUACGAUUAAUUUUAUUAUAUUACAAUGAAAAACAAAAGAAAAAGAAGAAUUUAAUAUGGUUCAAAGUUUUUAAAUAAAUCUGGACCAUAUACUUGUAGACAAACCUUUACCAUUAAUCUAUUCCAACUUCAAUGAGAACGACCAAGACAAUGCAAGUCUCAAUAGUCCUGUUUGAAACGCAAAAGCAUUCAAGUGGUUGAGAGCAGCAAGCCUGAUCCCUUUUGUCCUUUUGUGUUAUGUAAGUCAAUUGUAGAGAACGAUUGUUGGAAAUUUCUAAAACGUAAGUUAAUAGUUAGAACCCUUGAGCAACGCACAUUCCACCCCAACCCAUGCAUAACGUUAGACGAGACUCAAUGUCUCAUUGUAUACAUUUUUAAUUUUAUUCAACAACUACAUAAGUAUAUUUUUAAAUGAUUUUUAAUAUAAUUACAUGUAUUUUCAUCUAUUUUAUAUGAAUUUAAAAUAUUACAAAUUAAAUAUAAUUAAUAUAAGAUAUAAGUUCUAUUUAAUUAAAUUCAAAUUCAAAUUCAAAUUCAAAUUUUAAAUUAUCCAAUAAUAUAAAUAGUAGACAUAAAUUUAAAGAAAAAAAUUGGGGUUUAGUUGAGAAAUUACCUCUCAAAUUCAACUAAAAUAAAUAAAGAGAGUUUAACUGGAAAAUUACCUUUCAAAUUUAACUGAAAUAUGAAACAUACUCAAUAAUAAGGGUAUCAAUUCAAAGGUAUAAAGCUACAUAAAUUCUUAGUUAUGCCUUUGAAAUAUUUUCACAAAGGCAUGUGCAAAACUUUUUGAUUCUAAGCAAAUUCAUUGUCUCAAUAUUACUUAUUUAAAAUCAAAUCCACAUUUAUUUUUAAACAAAAUCCAACAAUGUAUUUGGCUCAUCCAACAAUUUAUUUUUAAAUGGCAUUUAUUUAAAAAGAACCAAAUGAGAAUUAUUAUACAACUUUAUAAAGUCGAUGACACAUCCAACAUUAAAAGCACAAAGAAACUAGAUUGGCCAACAACAAAACAAUAAUGCCAACAUUCUCAAAUACCGCAACAAAUUUGUUCUAAAAACAAAAGAUAGCGCAUCGCACUUAGAGCGUAGAAAUACUUGAAUUCAAUCAUUGUAACAACGAAAAAGGAAACAAGACAUCCAACAUCCUCAUCACAAUGGAUUCGCCUCUCACCCGCCAACAACGUCUGCAAUGCAAUAAAACAAGAAGAGGCUAUUGUGGUAGCAACUCUUAUAAAUAUUCCAAAAUUAACUUUUAGAUGCAUCAGGUCUUAAUCUAAGGUAAAGGGUUUAUCCAAACAUGAAAAAUCUAACCAACUCAAUUCAAUUCAACCUAACCUCAACCUAUCUAUAUAGUUUACUUUUAAUUUAUAUAUAAUUUCUUUUAUGAUUUAAAUUUAAAUAUUUUUUAACAAAAAUUUUAAAUACUUAAUAUUGAACAAAUAGUCAUAUUAAUGAAAAUUUGUAAUUAUGAUCAAUAACUUAACACAUAGGUAAAAGUGUUUUUUUUUUUACUUAAUAAUAUUAUUAGCAAUAGUACGUUAUUAAUUGUAUAUGAAAAUAAUGAAGCUUAAAAAUUAAAAUUUAAAGACAAUGCCAUUGUCAAAUUUACUCAAAAUUUAUUUUUAACUAUAGUUAUCCAUGUACAUAUGUGACACACAUAAUAAGAUGCUAAUAUAUAUAAGGCAAAAUAUUAUAAAGUUAAAUGGUGAGAUAAUAAAGUGAAAUGUUUCUAACCUUAUGCAAUAUUUGAACUUGUUAUAGUAACAGUAUCCAAUGAUGUACUUGGCUCAUCAUUAGAGUUCUCACAGCUAUGAAUCUCCAUUGAUGUUUCAAGCGGAAGUUGAUGGAAUGGCUUAGGAGGCAUAUCAAGGAGUUCAACAUCAGAUUCAAGCAUCUUCAAAACUUUACUCAUUGAAGGACGAUCAAAAGGCAGUAAUUGUAUACACCAAAAGGCUGUUAUUACCAUUUUCUUUACCAUUGCUUUUUCAUCGUCAGAAACAUCUCCCAACUCCAAGUCCUCUCCUUGAUCUAAUCGGUCAUAAAUCCAAGAUGGAAAAUAGAUCUGACUAGUGUGGUCAGCAAAUGCAUUCACAUUCUUUCUCCUUCCAACCAUUUCCAUCAGUAACAUUCCAAAACUAUAAACAUCAGCUUUGUAUGAGAUGCCUCCAAGAUUUUUGUAAACCAAUUCUGGAGCAAUAUAUCCUAUCGUUCCUCGUGCCGCAGUGAGAGAGACAAUGCUAUCAUCUACUGAAUACAAUUUAGCAAGACCAAAAUCGGAAACUUUUGGAUUAAAAUUCUCAUCAAGAAGAAUAUUGUGUGGCUUGAUAUCAAAAUGUAGAAUUUGCAUGUCACAUCCUUGAUGUAAGUAGUGAAUUCCUUGAGCCACCCCAAGUACAAUAUCAAACAUUUUUUUCCAGCCCAAAGUGUUCUUAUUUUCUUCUGUAAAUAUGAUUUUAUCUAAAGAUCCAUUAGACAUGAAGUCAUAUACUAGAGCUUGCUUUGAUCCCUCCACACAAAAUCCGAUAAGUUUUGCCACAUUAGCAUGAUGAAUUGUCCCAAUGGAAGCAACUUCGUUUAUGAAAUCUUGGCCAUUACCUUUUGAUUUGCCCAACAAUUUUAUUGCCACAUGAUGGCCGCUACGAAGCUUUCCUUUAAACACUGAGCCAUAACCCCCUUCACCUAAUUUAUCUUUAAAAUUUUUAGUCAUUUUUUUAAUUUCUUUAAAAGAAUACCUUAAUGGCACUAGAUUAUUUUGGCUUUUAAGGAACUCUUCGAUCAUAUCAUCCAUGGAUAAAUGUCUUCUCCUCCAUUUGUACGUGACAAAAGCAAGCAAACAAAUGAUCCCAGGAAAUGACCUCAAGAUAACUCCACCUUUAAAGAAAUACAAUGUAACAUGUUGAAAUUAAUCACAUAAUAUAUAACUUACAUUCUCAGAAAAAAGGAUAUAGUGUGAUAGUUUUAUGUUAACUAGUAUUUGAGAGAGUGGCAUAUUUCACUAGUCUAUGGACUUAACCGAGAGUAGUCUGAAUUAUAUGCAUUGUUUUUGUCAUUAGCAGGUAUAUCUCAACAAAUUAAAAUUCAGAAUUUGAAACACAAAAGGAGUAAAUCAUGCAAAGUGGAUGCCAAUUAUUCUAACCUCACACAUUCCAAUAGAUUUGACAGGGUCAUGACAUUCACCCAAAUUAACACAUUCGUAACCCCAUCCAAUUAGCAAAUUCUAAAGAAAGAACAUGAUUCUUAACCAUGAAGGAUACUCAACUGUUGUUUCUAUUCAUGCCAAAUAAAAUUGAAGAAGGACAAAUUAAAAAUAUAAUAACCUUCAAAUUUCAUAAAUGAAACAAAAUCUAGAACCACCAAAAGAUGCAAGAGAACCCCCCAAAAAACAGAUUUGAUAAAUUCAAGAGCUAACUUUGUUGAAUGUUUUAGCAAAAUGAAUAUCCACCAAACUUAUAACCUGUGAAAGUUCUAAACAAUACCAUUAUGAAAACAAGCUUAACUAAAACUCUAACAUCUUUCUUAACUUGACAAAAAAUUUCUUUCAUAUAGAAGAAGAUUGUAUUCUGCAUUCAAACUCCGUAAAGAGUGUCAUAGCUUUCUUAGUUUUGUAGUGAAAUUAAAUAUAAACUUGUAUAAUAUGAUAGGCUCCUUAUUCUUUUUUUCCCCCAGAAUAUAGCUAAUAUUUGUUCUCAACUAGUGCAAAUGCAAAUCUGCAAAUCUAAAAUUAAAUAUACCUGUUAUUAGCAAACAGAGACGAUAAGCUCCGAAGAAUCUGGAUUAUAUAUUCAACAAAUCAAAGUAAAAUUAAUAAAGGGGUGUAAAGAAAAAUUCCAAAUUUGUAUAAAAAAAUCAAUGGAAGGUAAUUUAAAAAAUUAUAUUAUGUUUUGUGGUAUAUACUCAAAAAAGAAAUACAACAAUUCUUUACAUAUGUUUGCUUGUAAAAAGUAUGCAACAUGUGUUACAGUAUAAGAGUUUUUAGGUAACUAAUAUGAUUUAAUAUAAUGAAAGGUGAGACAAAAUUUAUUCAAAUUAAUUAAUCCAAAAAGUAUAUAUUAUAGCAUUAAAAGAGUUUUUGCCAAAAAAAAUAAACUCAUCCACAAUGGUGGAAUAUUUACGUACUACCAACUAAAUUGAAAAUUCAUCAAAAAUAAAGACAAAAUAAAAAGAUAGACAUAAUCAAAUAUAAUUGUCCAAAAAGAAGACAAAACAGCAGAGAAAGCAGAGGCAGAUACUAAAUUAGAAAUGCUUUUAGUUCAUUUGAUUGUUAGAUGUUGAUCAAUUUUAGAUGCAAAAUCAUCAUACUUAAUUACCAUCAUAAUAUUUAAUUGUGAUAAAUGUAACAUAAAAUAAAACAAAACAAAAAGUAGAUGUUGUAACUAAAAAUUCCAGUAUGAUUCACACUCAAAAUGCAAACUUAAAUUAUUAAAGAAACUUACAUAUCUUUAAACCAAACUUUGUUUUUAUUGUAGUAGCUACUCUCGCUAUCCCAUCAACUCCAUUGGACCCAAAAACCCUCCAAUAAUUUUUUGUAUAUAUCCAGCGUAGACAUGCCUAUUAUAUUAUCAAUCAUAAUUGGAACCUCCGCUUUGAUAGUGCAAGCUUGAUUGAUAUCAGAUGGGUGGGUGUUUCCAUUUAAAAAAUAGAAAUAGAAAGUUGGAAGGGAAGAGGAGGUAUUAGAUUUAAUCGUACAACAAGAAGCCUCAAUAAAAAGUGAUGAUUUUAUAGGUUUCGUGCAAUUCAUAACAUAAAUAAUGUUAAAAUUAUAAGAAAAAUAAUAAUGAUAAUUAGAAAAAAGGUAAAAAUAUGGUUUAAAAUAAGGAUAAGUAUCAUAAUAAUCAGGAUAUACAGAAGUAAGAGGAAGGGAGUUGCAAUCAUCCGUGUCCAAGCUUGCAUCCACCAUUCGUAUUGUAUAAUUUUCGUAAAAGAUUUGUUGGACAGAUAAUUUCCCUCCUCUCCCAACCAAAGUGGUGCGAUUAUUGUUCUCACACUCAAGUUCCAUGACAGGAGAACCACAGUGGGGAGGUUGGUUUUUUAAUCGGAAUGGAAAACUGAUAUUCAAAUUCCCACAGAAAGUAGAGCCGCAGUCUUGGUUAAUAAGACUCCUAGCAAAACAAACAGCAGGAAAUAGAAUUACAAAUAAAGCAACAGAGGGCAUUAGGUGACCCAACAAUGGCAGUUUUGCUUUUAAUUUUGGCAUGCUAAAAUUUUGGGUAAGGAAGAAGAACAGUAAUGGGGGGUUAAUGAUUAAGUUUCUAACUAAACCAGGGAAAUAUAUAAGAAAGCUUCAGUGGGAGAAGAAGCAUUAAUGGGGACACAAGACUUUGACUACUCUUCAGCUUUAUUUGGGAUGAAUAUUUUAUUUUCAAUAAAUUGUUUACACCUUUUAUUCUUUAAUCUUUUUUCUGGGAAGAGCCAUGGUUAUCACAAGCAAAAGAAAAAGGAAUUUUAAUAUUAUUCAAAAAAAAAAAAAAUUGGACCAUAUGCUUGUAGUCGUAGAUCAACGUUUAUGACCUUAAUAAAUUCCAAUUACAAUGAGGAGGACCAAGACAAUGCAAGUCUUUAGUCUUCUUUGAAACACAAAAACAUUUGUUGCAUCUUUUGUAACUAUUUGUUGCAUCAUUCUAAAAAGUAAGUUAAUAGUUAGAAGUGUCAAGCAAGGCGACUCAAUGCCCAAUUGUAUAGAUUCUUUUUAUUUUAUUCCACGAAUACUUCACUACUUUUCAAAUAAUUACAUGAAUUUAAAAUAAAACAAAUUAAAUAUAAGAUAUAAUUUCUAUUUAUUUAAGUUUAAAUUCAAAACUAAAUUCUAUUUCUAAAUUUUAAUUAUCCAAAAUUAAUUUAAAAACUUAAAUUUAAAAAUACAUUAAGAGACUUCAAAUUCCGUUUUAUUUUAAAUGAAAUCGGUUUAGUAAAGAGGUGACUAUGGAUCAAGUCAAGCCGAAUCGAAGUUCAGUUUCAAAAAAUUCCAAGUCCUAGAGCCUAUUUUUGAUCCAACUCACCCAAAAGCUCGUUUUCUAUUUGAAAAUAUUAAAAAUAUUUUUAAUUGAUAUUUUACAUAUUUUUAUAAUUAAAUUUAAAUUUUAAUAAAAAUUAUUAUUUAAAUUAAACUAUAAAAAUAUUUAUCCAAAUCUGACCCAAAUCGAAUUAGGCCGGGUGGGCGAUCCGAUCAUGACAGGAAAGGAGAAACAAGAAAGACGAAGCCUAAACAGGCAGUAAAUUCAUUUUAAUUCUACAUACAUUCCAUAUUAUUAUUUAGGGAUAAUAUAGUUUUUGACCCUAAUCUUGAUAGUUAAGUGGACUUUAGUACAUAUAUCUUUUUUGUUCUACUUUGACACUCGAACUUCAAAUAUUUUGGUUCCUAAACUUGAAAAAUAUAAAAGUUUUAUGAUGCAACUCUGUAAGAUUGUGUUACAUCAUCACUUAAAAAUUAAAAAAAUAUAUAAAUAUUUUUAAUUAAUAUUUUAUAUAUCUCUAUAAUUAAAUUUAAAUUUAAAAAAUAUUUUUUAUUAUUUAAAUUCAACUCAGAUUAAAUCAAAAUAAAAUGUAAAAAUACUUAUUCAAAUCUGACCCAAAUUGAGUUGGGCCGGGCAGGCUACCCAGUCAUCUCAAGUCUACUUUAGCACAGGUAAGUAAAGUUGAAUCAUUAGAUUGGGAUAUAUGUGUGCUUCGGGUAAAUACUUAUUUGGGCUGAAUUAUUUGGACUUCAAUUAUGAAUUUAAUUUUUUACUAAUAUGUGUGAGAAGCCCAUUCUUUUAUGAAUUUUGGGCCACUUCGGUUUCGUCUUCAGGAAUUAAACAUUCAUAAAAAUCUAAAAAAAUUUAUUAAAUUAUUAUUUAUUAAUUAAACCAGUUGAUUAUUCAAUCGGUUUGACCACUAGUUCUUGAUUCAACUCAUUUGAUCGGUUCAACUACCCAACUAACAAUAAUUAAAUGAAUGAUUCAACAUCCAUAAAAAUCUAAAAAAGAAUAUUAAAUCGAUUACAUAUGUUCAAUAGCCAAGUUUUUUUUUUACUAAUUUCAAACAAUUUUUUUAAUUUAAUUGAUUCAACCAUUUUGUUCAAACUAGGGUGUUCGCAAAAGUCUCGACUCUCCUAAAAUGGAAAAGUUUUUAUUUAAGUCAUUUAAAAUUUUUAAAAUUUUAAAUUAAUAAAGGUAAAUUACACUUUGGCCCCAUAAAAAUAUAAAAAUUUGAUUUAAUCCUUUAAAAAUUAUAAAGAUAUAGGCUAUUAAAAUGGUGAAAUUAUAUUUUUACUUCGUAAAAAUUACAAUUUAAUUUCGACUCCCUUUUUUUUUUUUGAUUUCGCCCCUAAUUCAAACCAUUAUACCGGUUGGUUCUUAGUCCAAUCAAUCCAACCAACCAAUCCACUACUAUUUCAGUAAAAUUGGUCAUAUCAUCAAAUCUUGAUAGAAUCCAAAUUUAAAGGACCAAAAUAGAUCUAAUUGUCAAACUCAAAUACCAAAAUGGAUCUAACUUAAAAGCAAUAUUGAAACAUGUCUUUCUUGUUUUCUCCGUCUCUUAAAACCCCCUGACCUUUGUUUUUUUUUUUUUUUAGUCUUUGAGUUCCUUAGAGAGUUGGUUCAUAUUUUAGGAUAUUGUUUCAUGCUUUUGGCUUGCGAGUUCUUUGUAUUGUAAUGGUAUUUUUUGUAUUAGUGUGAGGAGUAUUGUGGUGUUAUUUUGCUAUCCAUUGAUUCGUUUUGGGUGAAGGUUUUAUUUUGAGCCUUUGUGUUUGUAUGGGAUACCUUAUCUUCGAGUUCUGGGUUUUUCUUUAAUAUAUUUCUAUCGGUUCGAAAAAGAUGGAAGUCUAGAUUUGAUUUGGAGAUAAAAUUGUGUUUUAAUUUUUGUGUACUUUCCUGAUUUUUCUAAAUAAUAUUUUUUUCUGCUUCAAUCCAACUACAAUACUUGCAUUAUAAACAACUAUUUCAUUGAAUUUCUUUUUUAUUUUAAAAAUACUUUUUAAACUGUUUUUUUUCUAGAGAUUCUCUAAAAUUUUCUAUUAAAAACUUUAUAUAUUUGGUAAAAGGAUUAAAGAAGUUCCUGUACUUAGUGAUGGAUUGCAUUUCAACCCUUUUAUCGAAAAAAAUUGACAAAUUAAUUUUUAUACAUUUCAAAACAUACAAAUUUGUCGCUUCGUUAAAAUUUUUCUACAUUUUAACCUAUUCAUCAUUUCCUUUGCAGAAAAAUAGUUGAUAUACCAUUAGAACAUGAGCCUCAAACAUUAUAAAUGAAUAAUAAUACCUCGGUCUAUGAAGAAGUUAUGUUACAUUUGAUGGAAUAUCAAAGGAAAAUUUUUCGUUUAUUUUAAAAAGAUUUUAUUCAAUUUUCUAAUUGUAUAUAUAAUUGAUAUUAAUUAUUUUUUAUUUUAAGUUUAAUUAUUUUAAAACAUAUUUAUUAAAUAACUUUUUUUGGUGUUAUUAAUUAAACAUCAAAUGCAGCAUUAAUAUUGUAAGUCUUCCGUUAUUUAAUAUUUAAAUAAUAUGAAAUUGAACAUUUAAACGUAAAAUAUAAAAUUAUUCUUAAUAAUUUAUAAUAAAGGGAAUAAUAAAACAGAUGAUUAGAUGAAAUCAAGAAUCAGGUUAAAUUCACACCUGACCAUGGAAAUAUUUGUGUCGAUAUGAUUUAUAAACAGGGUUUAGCCAUGAUACUUUUCUGUGAGAGGCAAAAUCAAAAUUUUUCUUUUCACUUAAAAACUUAAUAUUUUAAUUUUUCCUCAAUUUUGUCCAUUCAAACAUGUUAAGACUGUAUGGUUUGAUUUACCUGUUGGUACGUAAGCUUAUUCAUGCAAAAGUGUCCUUUUAUCAAUUAAAAAGAACAGCAAUAAGGUAAAACGUCAGUUUUUAAUAGAGUCUGACUGCGUCGUCGGCAAAUGAGUGUAGAAUCUUUUACGGUAAGCAAAAGCAUGCUAUCCUAUUUUCCUCCAAUAGCAUAUUUAUUUAUCAUUAAUAAUUACUUUCAUUUUAAUUGUAAUAAAAAUUUAUGACAUAAUUCAUCGUUUACAAACACCAUCUUCAUAUAAUAUUUAAAUUUUCUUUUAGAUAAUUUAUGAUUAUAAUUCUUGAACACAUAUGACAUAAUGGAUGAUUAUUUGGUAUAGCUGAUAGUAAAUUUUUAAUUUCAUAAAUAGAUUUGAAAGUUUGAUAUAUAUUUUAAGUUGUAUUUAAAAAAAAUAGGAUAUAUGAAAAUUUUUCAAUCUCGCUUAUUGAGUUAAUUAAUAAUCCAUAAAAAAAUAUUACUUUGUAUGUUUUAAUUCUUAAUUAAUUUUAGAUAUUUGACUUCUAUUAAUUUAAAUGUUUUAAUGUUUUUUUUGAAUUAAAAAAAGUGUGUAUUUAAUUCUUCAUAAAACAAAUUAUUUGUAAAUAAUCAUAAAUCGGUAUAAGAAGAUCAAACCUAAUAUAUCAAAGCAACUAAUAGCGGAUUGAUUGUUUGAUUUCAAAUGUUUAAAUUUGAUAAUCAAUCAAUUUAAAGAUACAAUGAGAUGUAAUUUUGUAAAUUAGAUAUCUCAAUCUUAGUAUUAAAUGAUUGAUGACUCUAAGCUACUUAAAAACAAGAAGACAAUCAAUCUUCACUUUAAUUUAUAUGAUCCAAAGUUCUUAACACCAUUUCAAAGAACCGUUCAGAAAUUAUAGAUACAAGAUCUAAUCAAAACAUCAAGUAACGGCCAAAUCAAAACCCACCAAAGAGAUAUCCAAAGUCUCAAAUCUGGAAUUAAAGGUCAACGUAACCACAUCAUACAAAGAAAUGCUCCCACCACUCCACUUCGGGACAUGUACAAAAUCUGAUUUCUUCGAUCACUACUUGAAAGAGUUGAUAAUUCUCAUAUUUAGAAUUAUUUUAAUUUAGUUUUUAUAGUAUUUUAGGAGUAAAAUCUUUUUUAUUAUAGUUUAUAGUUUUUGAAAUUAAUUAGAUUUUAUUUAAUUUUCCGGAUUUAUUAGCUAUAUUUUUCUCCAUUGUAAAUUUGAGAUAAAAAAAAUGAAAGAGUUGAAAUAUAAAGUAAGAAAGGAUGAAAUCUUCUACUCCACUUGAUCAACUUUACAGUGAACAUAUUUUUAAAUUCAGAAAUUUUGAUAGCAAUUAUUCCUUCUACCAUAAUUUUUUAUUUGGUGGAGCUCCUAAUAAAAGUCAAAAAGAAAAAAAAAGUAUGGGUUUGACCAAUAUUUUAUGGUUCAUUUUUUAUAUAUUUACUCUAAUCUCUGUUUCUAAAAAAUAUCUUAAAACAUUGAAAAAAUAUAUAGUUUAAUUAGCAACAAAUACGCGUUUUUUAUUCUCAAAUUAUUGGUCCAAUCGGUUGAUUUAGUUAGAGAUUCAAAUAUUAUUUAUGAUUUUAAUAUAAAAUAUGAGAAAUGAUGUUCACAUUUCAAAUGAUGUUCAAAUUGAUGGAAACAGUCAAAAAAGAAAAAAUCCUGAGAUGUCAAGUUUACAUUUUAAAACUGGAAGAAAGAAAUCCUCAAAGCAAAUUGGAGGGGCUGCAAGAUUGUCCAGUCAAAUAGAAAAACUAUGCAAUGCAGCUGACAAUAUGAGUCAAGCCACAUCUAGUUUGACUCCUGUUAUGGAUCCAUAUGGUAUUCCACAAGCAGUCAAAAUGCUUGACAGCAUGUCGGAAGAAGUUCCAGAAGCUAGUCCGCUAUACUUUUUCGCACUUAGAUUAUUGCUCAAUAAGGACAAGCGAAUUAUGUUUUUAUCAAUUAAUCCUAAUAUUAGAGCUUUGUGGCUUAAGACGGAAAUGGAGGAUAGUUGAAAAUUUUUUGAUCUUCUAGGGUUUAAAGAUAUCUAUUUAUGUGUAAUCUUCUAGUUAUAAUGGCUUAAGCGAAUUAUGUUUUUAUCAAUAGUUAUUUAUGUUUAGUUUUUGGAUAUUGAAUUUAUGUGCGAAUUAUGCUUUUGGAUAUUGAAUUUAUGUGUAAUCAAUUAUGUUUUAUUAAUAGUUGUUUAUGUUUGGUCUUUAGAUAUUGAAUUUAUGUUCCACUUAUUUUUUAUUAAAUUAAUUUUAUUAAUGGUUGUUUAUAUGUGAUUUUGGAUAUAAAAUUUAUUCACAGGUGAUGAGUAUAGUUGAGGAUUAUAGCAGUGAUGAAAGUGAUGAUCAAAGGGAAAAGAAAGAGAUGUUACAACGCAUGGAAUGUUUUAACCGAAUAUUUGUUGUUGCAUCUUCUUCCAUGCAAUUAUAUUACGAGAAGUAUAUAUUGAGGCAACCAUGCAUGGAUUCAAAACAGUCAGGUGAGACAUGGAUCCGAGAGAUCCUUGACGGUCACGAAUCACGUUGUAUGAUUAAUUUUAAGAUGUCUAAAAUGGUAUUCACAAGUUUGUUGAGAGUUUUGGAGACAAGAUACAACUUGCAAACUUCAAGAAACAUAUCUUCUACUGAAAUGUUGGGAAUUUUUUUAUACAUCUUGGGCACCGGUGCAAAAGUUUCCCAAUGUCGAGAAAGAUUUCAAAGGUCUGGAUCAACAAUAAGUCGAUACUUUGCAGUUGUGCUUGAGAAAGUUUCAAGGAUGGCCAUUGAUCUAAUUGCACCUGAAGAUCCUUUUUUUAGCUCAAUACCCGAACAAAUACAUAAUGAUUCUAGAUAUAUGCCGCAUUUUAAGGUUAAAAUUUAAUUUCAUAUUAUUAUAUUUUAAUAUAUUUGGUCGACUAAAAAUAUGCACGAGAGUAAUAUGAUUAUUUGUUCAGGAUUGUAUAGGUGCAAUUGAUGGUACUCACAUUGCGGCUAUUCUUCCACCAAAUGAACAAAUUCCCUAUAUUGGAAGAAAAGGUAUCCCGACUCAAAAUGUUAUGGCAGUAUGUGAUUUUAAUAUGUGUUUCACAUUUGUCAUGGCUGGAUGGGAAGGAUCGACACAUGACACUAGAAUAUUUCUUGAUGCAAUUCGAGAUCUAAAAUACAAAUUUCCGCACCCUCCAAAUGGUUAGAUAUUUUAUUUAUAUGUGAUUUUUUAAAUAAUAAAGUAAGUUCUUUAAUUGAUUUUUUAUUAAAAAAAUUCUUGAAUUAAUUGUUUGUUAUAUUAUGACUUGUAGAAAAAUAUUAUCUUGUUGAUUCUGGAUAUCCUCAAAUGAAAGGUUAUCUUGGACCAUAUAGAGGUCAACGAUAUCAUUUACCUGACUUCCGAAGAGGUAGACCGAUUUCUGGUAAAGAAGAGAUAUUCAAUCAUUCACAUUCAUCAUUACGUAGUGUGAUUUAACAAACUUUUGGUGUUUUAAAAAAAAUGGGCCAUUUUAAGGGAUAUGCCAAGUUAUAGUUUUGAAAAGCAAACGGUGAUCGUUGUUGCUAUAAUGACGAUACACAAUUUUAUCCGAAAACAUGUUGGUCAAAAUGAUGUAGAUUUUAUGGAAUACGAAGAUAUUAACUCGGCAUAUGAGAAUAGUAUUGAUUCAGAAAAUGCGCAUGGGCCACAAAGUGAUGAUGAUGACGACGACGACGACGAUGAUAGUAAUGAUGAUGGUGAAUCAAACAUUUUUAGUGGUUUUGAAAUGGAAUUAACAAGAGAUGCUAUAGUUUCUAGUUUAAUGAAUUCAAUUUAAAUUGUAAAUGCUAUUGUAAAAUUUUUAGUAUUUAUAUCUGAUAUAUAAAUAUUAUCCCCUUUUUAAAACUUCAAUCCAAAUAUAUCUAAUAUUUUAAUUUGUUAAGUUUAUGUUUUCUAUGUUAUAUUAAUAUCUAAUAUGAGUUAUAUAUUCAAAUAUAUUUUAAAAUAAAAUAAUACAAGCGUGUUAAAAGUAUUAAUUAAAAAUAAAAAAUAAUUUUUAUAAUAAUACAAUCGUGUCAAUAUCUAAUUACAAAUAUUUAAAUAUUUAAAUAUAGUUUAUAUAUUCUAAUUAAAUUUUAUAAAUAAUUAAUAUUAAUUACUUAGAAAUAUUUAAAAUUAAUAUUAUAUAUUAAAAUAUUAACAAUAAGUUAUAAUAAAUUAUUUUUUUAUAUUUUUGCUAAAAUAUCAUAAUAUUAACUAAUUUGAACAUUAUUUAAAAACAUAUUUGUUACUUUAUAAUCUCAUGUCUAAAAUGGACAUUUUAUUCUUCAAAAAUACUUUUUAACACUAAUAGCAAACACUCAAAUUUUUCAAAAGCACUUCUUAAAAAUAAUUCUCAAAAGCAUUUCUCAAAAGUAACGAAAAACUAGCCCUUAACGCCCCGUUCUUCUGCACGUUUUAGAAGUGCUUUUGGCUGAAAAAUCCUUUUCCUUUAAAAGGAAUGAAGAACAGCCUCCUUUUCUUCUGAAAAUUUCACCAUCAGAAAAGGACUUCUCUCCAGAUGAAAAGUUAAAAUUUCUCUUUUUUUUCAGCUUAAAGUGCUUUUGGCUGAAAAUUGACCAAAUUAACCUAUCGUCUUCUCCCACAAACUUUCUUUCCCCUCCUCUGCUGGUUCUUUGGAACUGUCUUCUCCCACAAACGUGCUUUUGGCUGAAAAGAACAGAAAUUUGAUUUCUCAAAUUUUUCCACAAACGUGCUUUGGAACUGUCUUCUCCCACAAACGCUCUCCCACUCCCGCGACGGGGCGCUGUCAAUCGGCUGUGCUUCAGGGUCGAAGGAAGCAUAUGGAAGGUCUCACUGUCUGCAUGCUCGAUCUCCACAUUCCCUUCCCGAGUAUCUCUCUUUCUUCAUAUCUUUUUUUUUGUGCGGCUUCGUGGUUUUAUUAGAAUGCGUUCAUAGGGGAAUUAGUCUUACGAUUAAUAUUUUCUCUUGUAAAAAGGAUAAAUUGAUGUUGCAAUUUAAUGACAGUUUUUAUGCUAUGGAUUGAGAAUGAGAUUCUAGGGUUUUUCAUUGAAUGAAUUUGCUUUUGGUUGUUUUAUUAACAAACUUCAUCGCUUCGCUUAAGAAAAAAAAAAUCCUUCUUUUAAGAUUGAAUUUAUGAAGUUUUAUCGGUUAAUUAAAUGCUUAGCUCUUUUCUAAUGACUGUAACCAAUGUAGCAAUGAUAUUAAAGAAGGUUUAGUUAUAAAAGUGGAGAGAUAUUAUGCUAAACCGAACUACUAACUUCAAUAGUUUACUUCUUAGUGUUCUUAUAGAGGCAAUUUUGUUUGAAAAGGAUCUUUCUAAACAAUGUAAGAUUUGGUAUUUUUGCUUAUUUUGUGAUGGUUGAAGAAGUUUGUGCGUAUCACUGAUUUAAUAACUUUGUCUAACGUCUCAUCCUAUGUUUUAUUUUUAAUACAUAAAUUUUUGAUACAUUGGAGCAGGCAAAAUUGGGGUUAAGGAAGUUUCAGUCGGAGUUGUUGCAGUUUUUGAUGGUCAUAAUGGUGCUGAAGCUAGUGAGAUGGCUUCAAAACUUUUACUGGAGUAUUUUGCUCUAUAUACAUAUUUCCUUUUGGAUGCAACUUUUUCCUUUGUAUUGAAGAAGCAGUCAAGUAGGUUGCCAAAUGUAGGAGAAGGGGAUAUUGUUUUCUGUUGCGGAAAGGAUCGAUUCGAGAACUCCGAUAUGACUACAAGUAAAUUGACCGAAACGAAAAAUAAAGUGAACACAAGGAUUUACGUGGUUCGGCUUUAAUGCCUACGUCCACGGGCAGAGGCGAAAAGAAAUUUCACUAUAACAAGAUGAAGAUUACAAGUGUUUUACACUCAAGACACAACCCGAGAACCUCACAACUCUCAACCCCUAUAGAAAACCCGAAAGCUAAAAUCCUAGCUUUCAAAGAACAAGCUUUGCUCUCUCUUGGUUUGGGAUGAUCAAUAUGGCUAAUGAACCUCUCUAUUUAUAAGAGAGUUCAAGGACAUAAUUGUCCAAAACUUUGGCAAAGAUUUGUGGUUGAAAAUGGACACCAACAACCAUCCACUAAUCCACUACCACCAACAACCCACUACCAACAACAACAAUCCACUACCAAUUUUAAGCCAUUUCUUAACAAAUCUCCACCUUGGCUUGAAAUUUACCAAGCUGAACAUCAUAGAAACUCCAAGCCAUUAUCCGUCCGGAAUCGCUUGAUCUUCUUUCCUGUUUGAUUUUCGAUCAAAGCUUUAAAUUGCUUGAAGUUGAUGAGAACCUCAUACUUGCUCUUCAGAAAAUACACCCAAACCUUUCUCGAGUAAUCAUCGAUAAAGGUAAGCAGAUAUCUGUAACCACCUUUAGAAAUUGUCGGAGAAGGCCCCCAAAGGUCAGAAUGGAAGUAAUCCACUGUGCCUUUUGUCUUGUGAAUCCCAGUGCUGAACUUUACCCGAGUCUGCUUACCGAAGACGCAGUGCUCACAGAAAUUCAACUUUCCUGUACACUGCCCAGACAAUAAUCCUCGUUUGCUUAGCACCGAUAAGCCUCUCUCGCUCAUAUGCCCGAGCCGCAUAUGCCAUAACUUCGUGGUGUCAGAAUCUAGAUCAUCUGAUGAUGACACUCCCGCAACACCUGUAACCGAGGAACCAUCGAGGAAGUAAAGGCCCCGCUCCAAAUUACCACGUAUCACAGUCAAAGCACCCGAGAAUACCUUGAGAACUCCACCUUCAGCAGAGUACCGAAAGCCUUUCUUGUCCAACGUACUCAAAGAGAUCAAAUUUUUCUUCAUUUCUGGAAUGUGCCGAACAUCAGUUAGAGUUCUAACAAUACCGUCAAACAUCUUUAUACGAACUGUGCCAAUCCCCAUGACUUGACAUGCGUGGUCAUUUCCCAUUAGUACUGAACCAGAAUGCUUCUCGUAUGUUGAGAAUGCAUCUUUCGAAGUACUUAUAUGAAAUGUAGCUCCCGUAUCAAGAAUCCAUCUCCCACCAGCGUAAGAGUCGGAUACUGCAAGAACGAUCUCGGCAUCACUUGAAGAAUCUGCAUCAGCUACAUUCGCACGAUCAUUUUGUUGCUCCUGUGAUUCUGAUUUCUCCUUCCUUUUCGGACAAUCUACCUUCAUGUGCCCGUACUUCUUACAGUAGUAGCACUGUAUUCUCUUCUUGGACUGCGAUCUAGGAUGGCUUUUACUUGAACUUCCACCCUUUGCCUUGGAUCUUCCUCGAGCAACCAAGCCUUCGCCUUCAUUGUUUUCGACCACCUUACCAGUGAUUUUCUUCCUCAACUCACUGGAACUUAAGGCAUUUUUCACCUCCUCUAGAGUCAGGUCAUCACGACCGUACAUCAUUGUAUCAACAAAAUUCUCAUACGAGGGAGGCAAAGAACACAAAACAAUUAUUGCUUGGUCCUCAUCAUCGAUUUUGUUAUCGAUAUUAUUCAAAUCCAUGAUAAUGGAAUUGAAUUUAUCCAGGUGCUGGGAAACAGGUGUACCUUCCUCCAUCUUCAGGGCAUAGAGUCUUUGCUUGAGGUAGAGCCGGUUCGUCAAUGACUUCGUCAUGUACUUGCUCUCUAACCGGAGCCACAAACCGGACGCGGUUUUCUCAUCCGCUACUUCUCGUAGCACUUCAUCUCCUAGACAUAGCAGAAUAGCACUAUGUGCUCUUUCUAGCAUGUCAUCCUUUUGCUCUUCCGAAAGCGUGCUUGGUAAUUUAUCUUUACCAGACAAUGCUUUUAGCAAUCCUUGUUGAACCAGCACUGCCCGCAUCUUGAUGCGCCAUAAACUGAAACUAUUUUUCCCGGUAAAUUUCUCGACAUCAUACUUAGUCGAUGAAACACUUGUAGCCAUAAUUUGGAACCUUUGAAUGAAUGAUAAUAUUUUCUUCCUGAUGUGAAAGAUCAGACAAAGCUGCAGUCACAGGGCAAUUCAGAAAAUAUUAUCACUCCUUCAACUACGCUCUGAUACCAAUUUGUUGCGGAAAGGAUCGAUUCGAGAACUCCGAUAUGACUACAAGUAAAUUGACCGAAACGAAAAAUAAAGUGAACACAAGGAUUUACGUGGUUCGGCUUUAAUGCCUACGUCCACGGGCAGAGGCGAAAAGAAAUUUCACUAUAACAAGAUGAAGAUUACAAGUGUUUUACACUCAAGACACAACCCGAGAACCUCACAACUCUCAACCCCUAUAGAAAACCCGAAAGCUAAAAUCCUAGCUUUCAAAGAACAAGCUUUGCUCUCUCUUGGUUUGGGAUGAUCAAUAUGGCUAAUGAACCUCUCUAUUUAUAAGAGAGUUCAAGGACAUAAUUGUCCAAAACUUUGGCAAAGAUUUGUGGUUGAAAAUGGACACCAACAACCAUCCACUAAUCCACUACCACCAACAACCCACUACCAACAACAACAAUCCACUACCAAUUUUAAGCCAUUUCUUAACAUUUUCCAAGUGCUUAAUUGGGACAAAGAGAUUGGAAAGCAUGGCUUGAACCUUGAAAGGUGAUAUCAUGUGUAACUCAGACCAUAUUUAUGUUUGAGUUCCUUGUUUUAGAAAAUGGAUAUAGCUGUUGCUUGCUGUUGACGAUUCUUAACCCAAAGUAUUAAUGCUUGCUCAGAUUAUUAACCCAAUGUUUAUUUCAUCAUCUUAAAGUUGCUUCCUGUUUGCUUCUACCUGCUAUUCAGCUGGUUGUGGGAAUUAGCCAUCCCUGGUGGAUUUCUCUGACAUUUUUCAUUGGAAGCUGUAUUAGGCUAGUGGAUUGGUCUUUGACUAGCAAUUUUCUAGGACUAUUCAGGUGAUUGCUUCUUGACUCUUUGUACAUUGUUCUAUUUCAUUUUCUUUGUCAAUGAAUUUGGUUUUAUCAUUGGUUAAUGUUUUUAGUAGCUUAUGUUCUGUUUCUUUUUUGUCAAGGUUGUGGAAGGCUCUCCAGUUUUAUGCAGGCUUCAGCAUUUUCAUGCUUUAUGUGUAUCAACUCCUUAUAGAGUUCUCAAGUAUGUUACAGUGGAUAGCUGAUUUUGUUGGUCUAUUCAAAAUAUGUUCAACAUCUGAGUGGACUGAAAUUUGCUCUUCUGUUUCUCUUGUACUUUAUUACAUCAUGGUAUGUACUAGUUUUAUUACUAUAGGUCUGAUUCUGUUUAAAGAUUUUAGCUGAACCUUUUAAUGAAAUGCAAUUCACUCUUCCCUCUUCCUAGAAUCUUAUAUUAUGAAAUUGACUUCAUUUGAGUCUUUCCUGUGUCUGACAUUUGUCUAUCUAAUAGUCUUUUCCCCAUAUUACUAAUUUAAGAUGGUUUGAAGUGUUUUCUUUCUAUAAGAAAAAUUUCCCGAACAGAUAUGAAGUAAUUAGUUGCAAACUAGACUUUGGAGAUUGAUGACAUUUUUGCCAUUCUGGAUGCAAUUUUUAUUCAAUUUGCUCAAUGAAAUUGCAAUUGAAAAUUUGAGAGCUUCCUAGUUAGAAACCACAUAUUUAUAUAAUAUAUGUUUUUAAUAGUUUUGAACAAGUUAAAUUAAUUAUAAAGAAAUAAUAUAAUUGAGAACAAGAUUAGAGCAGCUCGUUUGUACAUCUCAAUCUUAAUAUUAAGUGAUUGAUGACUCUAAGCUACUUAAAAACAAGAAGACAAUCAAUCUUCACUUUAAUUUGUAUGACGCAAAGUUUUUAAAACCAUUUCUAAGAACCGUUAAGAAAUAAUAGAUACAAGAUCUAAUCAAAACAUCAUGUAACGACCCAACCAAAACCCACCAAAGAGAUAUCCAAAAUCUCAAAUUUGGAAUUAAAGGUCAACGUAAACACAAAAUUCUCCAAAAGUAUUAUGAGUUCUAACCUUUUAAUGGGUAUAAUUUUUAAGGUUUUACAAUAGCCUAUUUACAUGCAAAAUUUGUAGCCCAAAUAAUAAUAAAAUAAUAUAAACUAAUCAAUGUUUAACUAAAAUAAAUAAAUAGAGUUUAGCUGAAAGAUUACCUCUCAAAUUUAAUCGAAAUAUGAGGCAAGGUAUCACUUCAAUGGUAUAAAGCUACAUAAAAUCUUAGUUAUGUCUUUGAAAUAUUUUCAUAAAGGCAUGUGCAAAAACUUUUUCAUUCUUAACAAAUUCAUUCCACUCAAUAUUAUUUAUUUAAAAUCAAAACCACAUUUAUUUUUAAACAACAUCUAAUAAUGUAUUUGGCUCAUCCAACAAUUUAUUUUUAAACGACAUUUAUUUAAAAAGAACCAAAUGAGAAUCAUUAUACAACUUCAUAAAGUCGAUGACACAUCCAACAUUUAAAGCACAAAGAAACUAGAUAGGCCAACAACAAAACAAUAAUGCCAACAUUCUCAAAUACGGCAACAAAUUUGUUCUAAAAACAAAAGUAAGCGCAUCGCACCUAGAGCGUAGAAAUACUUGAAUUCAAUCAUUGUAACAACGAAAAAGGAAACAAGACAUCCAACAUCCUCAUCACAAUAGAUUCUCCUUUGACCCGCCAACAGCGUUUGCAAUGCAAUAAAACAAAAAGAGGUUAUUGUGAUAGCAACUCUUAUAAAUAUUCCAAAAUUAACUUUUAGAUGCAUCAAGUCUUAAUCUAAGGGAAAGGGUUUAUCCAAACAUGAAAAAUCUAACCAACUCAAUUCAAUUCAACCCAACCUCAACCUAUCUAUAUAGUUUACUUUUAAUUUAUAUCUAAUUUCAAUUAUGGUUUAAAUUUAAAUAUUUUUUAACAAAAAUUUUAAAUACUUAAUAUUGAACAAAUAGCCAUAUUUAUGAAAAAAUUUGUAAUUAUGAACAUAACUUAACACAUAGGUAAAAGUAUUUUUUUUACUUAAUAAUAUUAUUAGCAAUAGUACGUUAUUAAUUGUAUAUGAAAAUAAUGAAGCUUAAAAAUUAAAAUUUAAAGACAAUGUCAUUGUCAAAUUUACUCAAUUUAUUUUUAACCAUAGUUACCUAUGUACAUAUGUGACACACAUAAUAAGAUGCUAAUAUAUAUAAGGCAAAAUAUUAUAAAGUUAAACGGUUAGAUAAUGAAGUGAAAUGUUUCUAACCUUAUGCAAUAUUUGAACUUGUUAUAGUAACAGUAUCCAAUGAUGUACUUGGCUCAUCAUUAGAGUUCUCACACCUAUGAACCUCCAUUGAUGUUUCAAGCGGCAGUUGAUGGAAUGGCUUAGGAGCCAUUUCAAGGAGUUCAACAUCAGAUUCAAGCAUCUUCAAAACUUUACUCAUUGAAGGACGAUCAGAAGGCAGUAAUUGUAUACACCAAAAGGCUGUUAUUACCAUUUUCUUUACCAUUGCUUUUUCAUCGUCAGAAACAUCUCCCAACUCCAAGUCAUCUCCUUGAUCUAAUCGGUCAUAAAUCCAAGAUGGAAAAUAUAUUUGACUAGUGUGGUCAGCAAAUGCAUUCACAUUCUUUCUCCUUCCAACUAUUUCCAUCAGUAACAUUCCAAAACUAUAAACAUCGGCUUUGUAUGAGAUGCCUCCAAGAUUUUUGUAAACCAAUUCAGGAGCAAUAUAUCCUAUCGUUCCUCGUGCCGCAGUGAGAGAGACAAUGCUAUUAUCUACUGAAUACAAUUUAGCAAGACCAAAAUCCGAAACUUUUGGAUUAAAAUUCUCAUCAAGAAGAAUAUUGUGUGGCUUGAUAUCAAAAUGUAGAAUUUGCAUGUCACAUCCUUGAUGUAAGUAGUGAAUUCCUUGAGCCACCCCAAGUACAAUAUCAAACAUUUUUUUCCAGCCCAAAGUGUUCUUAUUUUCUUCUGUAAAUAUGAUUUUAUCUAAAGAUCCAUUAGACAUGAAGUCAUAUACUAGAGCUUGCUUUGAUCCCUCCACACAAAAUCCGAUAAGUUUUGCCACAUUAGCAUGAUGAAUUGUCCCAAUGGAAGCAACUUCGUUUAUGAAAUCUUGGCCAUUACCUUUUGAUUUGCCCAACAAUUUUAUUGCCACAUGAUGGCCGCUACGAAGCUUUCCUUUAAACACUGAGCCAUAACCCCCUUCACCUAAUUUAUCUUUAAAAUUGUUAGUCAUUUUUUUAAUUUCUUUAAAAGAAUACCUUAAUGGCACUAGAUUAUUUUGGCUUUUAAGGAACUCUUCGAUCAUAUCAUCCAUGGAUAAAUGUCUUCUUCUCCAUUUGUACGUGACAAAAGCAAGCAAACAAAUGAUCCCAGGAAAUGACCUCAAGAUAACUCCACCUUUAAAGAAAUACAAUGUAACAUGUUGAAAUUAAUCACAUAAUAUAUAACUUACAUUCUCAGAAAAAAGGAUAUAGUGUGAUAGUUUUAUGUUAACUAGUAUUUGAGAGAGUGGCAUAUUUCACUAGUCUAUGGACUUAACCGAGAGUAGUCUGAAUUAUAUGCAUUGUUUUUGUCAUUAGCAGGUAUAUCUCAACAAAUUAAAAUUCAGAAUUUCAAACACAAAAGGAGUAAAUCGUGCAAAGUGGAUACCAAUUAUUCUAACCUCAAACAUUCCAAUAGAUUUGACAGGGUCAUGACAUUCAGCCAAAUUAACACAUUCGUAACCCCAUCCAAUUAGCAAAUUCUAAAGAAAGAACAUGAUUCUUAACCAUGAAGGAUACUCAACUGUUGUUUCUAUUCAUGCCAAAUAAACUUGAAGAAGGACAAAUUAAAAAUAUAAUAACCUUCAAAUUUCAUAAAUGAAACAAAAUCUAACCACCAAAAGAUGCAAGAGAACCCCCCAAAAAACAGAUUUGAUAAAUUCAAGAGCUAACUUUGUUGAAUGUUUUAGCAAAAUGAAUAUCCACCAAACUUAUAACCUGUGAAAGUUCUAAACAAUACCAUUAUGGAAACAAGCUUAACUAAAACUCUAACAUCUUUCUUAACUUGACAAAAAAUUUCUUUCAUAUAGAAGAAGAUUGUAUUCUGCAUUCAAACUCCGUAAAGAGUGUCAUAGCUUUCUUAGUUUUGUAGUGAAAUUAAAUAUAAACUUGUAUAAUAUGAUAGGCUCCUUAUUCUUUUUUUCCCCCAGAAUAUAGCUAAUAUUUGUUCUCAACUAGUGAAAAUGCAAAUCUGCAAAUCUAAAAUUAAAUAUACCUGUUAUUAGCAAACAGAGACGACAAGCUCCGAGCAAUCUGGAUUAUAUAUUCAACAAAUCAAAGUAAAAUUAAUAAAGGGGUGUAAAGGAAAAUUCCAAAUUUGUGUAAAAAAAUCAAUGGAAGGUAAUUUAAAACAUUAUAUUAUGUUUUGUGGUAUAUACUCAAAAAAAAAAUACAACAAUUCUUUACAUAUGUUUGCUUGUAAAAAGUAUGCAACAUGUAUUACAGUAUAAGAGUUUUUAGGUAACUAAAAUGAUUUAAUAUAAUCAAAGGUGAGACAAAUUUUAUUCAAAUUAAUUAAUCCAAAAAGUAUAUAUUAUUGCAUUAAAAAGAGUUUUUGCGAAAAAAAUAAACUCAUCCACAAUGGUGGAAUAUUUACGUACUACCAACUAAAUUGAAUAGACAUCAAAAAUAAAAAGAAAAUAAAAAGAUAGACAUAAUCAAAUAUAAUUGUCCAAAAAGAAGACAAAACAGCAGAGAAAGCAGAGGCAGAUACUAAAUUAGAAAUGCUUUUAGUUCAUUUGAUUGUUAGAUGUUGAUCAAUUUUAGAUGCAAAAUCAUCAUACUUAUUUACCAUCAUAAAAUUUAAUUGCCAAAAAAGUAACAUAAAAUAAAACAAAACAUAAAGUAGAUGUUGUAACUAAAAAUUCCAGUAUGAUGCACACUCAAAAUGCAAACUUUAAUUAUUAAAGAAACUUACAUUUCUUUCAACGAAACUUUGUUUUGGUAAUCGCAUCUUUUCCAUUCGACCCAAAAACCCUCUAAUAGUUUUUUGUAGAUAUCCAGCGUAGACAUGCCUAUUAUAUUAUCAACCAUAAUUGGAACCGCCGCUUCGAUAGUGCAAGCUUGAUUGAUAUAAGAUAGCUGGGUGUUUCCAUUUAAAAAAUAGAAAUGGGAAGUUGGCAGGGAAGAGGAGGUAUUGGAUUUGAUGGUACAACGAGAAGCCUCAAUAUAAAGUGACGAUUUUAUAGGUUUCGUGCAAUUCAUAACAUAAAUAAUGCUAUAAUCUAACCUUUUAUAACCAGAAAGAAAAUAAUUAUUAUUAUAAAAAAAAAAUUAUUAUUAUUUUUAUUAAUACCAUUAUAAGAAAAAUAAUCUACAGAAGUAAGAGGAAGGGAGUUGCAAUCAUCCGUGUCUAAACUCGCAUCGACCAUUCGUAUUGUAGAAUUUUCGUAAAAGAUUUGUUGGACAGAGAAUUUCCCUCCUCUCCCAACCAAAGUGGUGCGAUUAUUGUUCUCACACUCAAGUUCCAUGACAGGAGAACCACAGUGGGGAGGUUGGUUUUUUAAUCGGAAUGGAAAACUGAUAUUCAAAUUCCCACAGAAAGUAUAGCCGCAGUCUUGGUUAAUAAGACUCCUAGCAAAACAAACAGCAGGAAAUAGAACUACAAAUAAAGCAAAAGAGGGCAUUAGGUGACCCAACAAUGGCAGUUUUGCUUUUAAUUUUGGCAUGCUAAAAUUUUGGGUAGGGAAGAAGAACAACAAUGAGGGUUAACGAUUAAGUUUCUAACUAAACCAGGGAAAUAUAUAAGAAA